rnacentral:lncRNA from 1 species
UUUUCUCAUUUUUCUUCUCUCUCUUCAUCUCACUCUCUCUCGCUCUCAUCCGAACUCCGGCCACCCUCAAACACCAACCACCACCCUGAGAACCACCUUUUCCCCUAGUUUCCGGUUAAAGUUCAACCAGAAACUUCAAAUGUUCUUCCUAAACCUACCCAUAACACAUGAAACCCUUAGAACCCUAACAAUCUUACACUUACCUAGACGAGCCCUAGGGUUCCCCAUACGAACCCUAACAAUCCCAACCCAGAAACCCUAACAACUCCAAACCCAUAAACCUAGAAACCCUAACCAUAAACGAGGAACCCUAGCCCUAGAUUUUUCCAAAAACCUUCAAUCAUACCCAGAUCGAACCCUAAACUAUAAAUUAACCCUUCCUGAAACAAAAUUAGCCUAUCCUAAACCCAAGUCAAACACAAAAAAACUUUAAAUCUAUAAGUCAACCUCAAACAUAAUUCAUCAACAAAAAGGCGAAGUUCUCUGGUAAAAAAGGUAAUGACUUUCAAACUCUUCUUCUAUUGCUCUCCUUCCUCUUUGUCUUCCUGAUGAUUUCUCACUUCUUCUCUUCUUCUUCUCUUCUUCUUCUCUUCUUCUUCUAUUUUCUUCCUCUUAUUAUUUCUGUGUUAGGUGCUUUUGGCGAUGGUGGUGGAGGCUGAGUUCGAAGGGAUUAGGGUUUCAAUGUCAAACCCUAAUCACUAUUCAUCAGAGCUUUAAAUGGAGGUUGGGAGUUGCAGAAGCAAUCGUAUUUUUAGGGUUUCUUUCUUAUUUUUUUAUCCUUUUUCUUUUAUUUGAUCAUAUAGAUUAAUUUUUAGGUUUAAGCAUUAAUUAGAUUGUUUACUUUAGGAAGUUUUAGUGGUAAUUAGAUUCAUUGCUUAAUUCAAUUAGAAAUUAGGUUUUGAUUUGAUUAUGUAUUUGGUCCGAUUUUACUUGUAAUUUUUAUUUCUCCAUGUAUCUGCAAUCAAAAUUGGAAAGGUUUGAUUAAUUUCUAAUUAUAAAGUUUUGAUAUGAAUUUAGAUACUCUAUUAGCGCAUUUAAGGUUUUUGAGAAUUGAGUGAAUUGGGGAUGGACCUGGGUCAUGAGCUUGACUCGGUUUGAUGAUGGGUCUGGAUUUGACUUAAUCUGGUCAAUAUUUUGACCAGACUCAAACAAUAACCAUUUUAAUAAUAAUCAUAUAAUAAACCUGAAAAAAAAAUUUGACCUAACAUGGCUGAUUCUAAUACUAACAAUGAAAUUACUAAUACCACUAAUUUAAUAGUUUAAGAAUAAUUUCUGACUAAUAAUAAUGAUUAUUAAUAAAAUAUUAAUCUAAUCAUAAUUAAUAAUAUAAAUUAAUCAUUACCUGAUUAAUUCAAUUAAUAAUAUCAAUCUAUAAUAUAAUUUAACUAUAAUAUCUGAUUAUUUAACUAAAUAAAAUUAACGAAUUUCUAUCUAAACCAAUGACAAAUGAACAUUAUUUCUUACUAAUAAGAUAAUUAAGCUUUUAAUGACUAAUAAUAAUCUUUAACCAAAGGUAAUAGUCUCUAAAGAAAUAUUACAAAUUAAUGGUAAUGACCUAUUCUAAAAAAUAGUCCUAAAAAUUAAUUAUCAAUGAUGUUAUCCUAAAAAUGUUAAAUAAUAUUCUAGAAUAUCCUAAAAUAGCAGUUAACUAUGAUGGAAGCAAAGACUCAUAAAAAGUCAAAAUGACCCCCCUUUAACUUUUUAGGUCAUUGGGGUUGACCAAAUGACUUAUAUGAGCUACGGAUAGGAAAGUGAUAUAAAUCCUAAGUUAGCGGAAAAUGAAAAGAAAGGUGGUAAAAUUUGGGGUACGACAUCUGUUUCUAUUUAAUCAACUUUAAAUUGAGAGGAUGAUGACGACGAGCCUUCAUCUUCUCGGGAAGGAAAUGAUUAAAUAUAGAGAGGGAUCCUAAUUUUGAUCACAGAGUUAGUAGAUCCUGGGGAUGAGCAAGGAUUGAAUAACCCUUGAUGCUCUGUUGGUACCCAAACCAACCUUUGAUGGAAACCUAGUGAUACCCUAUUCAUUAAUUUCAUCCCAUCCGAGCAAAACAUACAUACAAUUUCCCUGAUUAUCCGAUCAUUUUACUAAAAUCGGUUAGGAAUCUGAUGAUCCUCCGGUCGUUAUGAUUCCCAUGAUCAUCCAAUCAUUUUAUGGGAUCGAGGUAGGACUCUGACGAUCCUCCGGUCGUUGUUUGGUAAAACCAUAGUAAAACCCUUUUGAUCAGUUUUAACCUCUCCGGGUGAAACUUGCAUACAAUUCCUAUGAUCAUCCAAUCGUUUUACGGGAAUCAAGUAGGACUCUGACAAUCCUCCGAUCGUUUCUAUUCCUAUGAUCAUCCGAUCAUUUUGGAAUUUUGGUAAGACUCGGACGAUCCUCCGGUCAUUGCAAUUCCUACGAUCAUCUGAUCAUUUUACGGAAUUUUGGUAGGACUCUGAUGAUCCUCCGGUCAUUGUAAUUGCUAUGAUCAUUCGAUCAUUUUGGAAUCUUGGUAGGACUCUAACGAUCCUCCAGUCGUUGUAAUUCCUAUGAUCAUCUGAUCAUUUUGGAAUCUUGGUAGGACUCUGACAAUCCUCCGGUCGUUAUAUGUUGAAACCCUGUGUAUUUGAUGGAAGUUUCUAAGCCGAAGAUGUGAGAGAUGAACACCUGCUCAUUAGUUGAUAACAAUCAUUCAGGAUGAUCGAUUUACUGGAUGUGUUCUUUUGGAAGACUCGCGUUGAAUGAGCUUGUUGGGGAAAUCCUUUAUUAAAAAGGUGCUUGUGGUAGUAUUACUUACUGAGGAAGAUCAACUUGAGGAACUAUACUGUUAUAGUUGGGGAUUGGACUUCUAAGAGUGGUCACAAAUCCUAUGUUUUGUUAUGCCUGUUUAUGUGGAUACAUGUCUUUAAUCGAUGUAUGUGCUUAUGCAUGAUGCAUUUAUUUGGGUUGCCGUAUCUUAUAUGAUAUGUAUGAUGAAUAUGUGAAUUUGUGGGAAUCGGGGUUUAUGUAACAUUCCGAUUCUUCGAUCCCUUGAGACUUUGAUAUGCCCAUGAAACGAGCCUCGAUAGUCUUGAUAUUUGGGACUACACCAUAUGAUUUGAAGGGAAGAGACUUCUGUGCUGGUUAAGUUAUGAUUAUUGAUUUGUGACAUGUGUCUUGCUUGGGAUGUAGUACUGGAAGACUACAGUCCCUUCGAUGUUUUGAGAUCAAAGCAAAAUAUGUUUUUGAAAGCUUUUUAUUAUGCUCAAUAUUUGAAUGCAUUAUUCAAAAAUGAUUAACACUUUCUAAUCAAGUAGAAAUAAUGGGAGACAAAGAAUAAGGCUUGAAAAACAAAACUUUAUUUAUUGAAUUUGACCUGUAAAUGGGUGACAUUACAUAAGGAAAUAUUUUAUGUAAUAGGAGAUUACUGAAAACUGAUAAAGGAAAAAAAUAAAAUGGCAAUGAAACAGGCUAUUCAUUAUCCUAUUGAACCCAACACAUGCUAUUAUCCCUAGUUCUUCGAGGUCACAUUACUUUGCUUCUGAAGACGAUGAUUGGAUUGAUUGUUCCCAUAUGAGUUCCUAUUGUAGUAUGACUCAAGUGCUGCAGUCAUAUGCCUUUUGGGAAUCCCUAAUUUUUGCCUGGACCAUUUUUUUCAAGUAUUAGUCCACCAGGAUGAUAUACCCUUUUUUGCCUAAGCUGCCCUUUUAGGUUUCAACUUAUCAGGUUUUAUUUUUUAUACAAGUCCCUAAUUUUUGGGUGGAUUGGUCUUUCAAGUUUUCAAUCCACCGGGACACCCUAAUGUUUGCCUAAGUCGCCCUUUUGGAUUUUCGACUUAGCAUGCUUUUAUCCUAAACAUAUUAUUUCUUGACUGUGUCAGAGUUCAUAGGUCGUGGUAACUCCGCUCCAUCCAUGGUUGUGAGAAUUAAGGCUCCUCCAAAGAAGGCAUUCUUCACAACGUAUGGACCUUCGUAGUUCGGCGUCCAUUUUCUGCAGGGAUCUUUAUGAAUGAGUAAUAUUUUCUUAGCACUAGGUCACCUUUUUCGAACAGUCAAGGACGAAUUUUCUUGUCGAACGCUCUUGAGCCUCUUCUGAUACAAUUGCCUGUGACAUACUGUAGCCAUGCGUCUCUCUUCUAUGAGGUACAAUUGACCAAGUCUUGUUCGUACCCAUUUCGCCUCUUCAAAUUUGGUCUCCAUCAAGACGCUCAAUGAGGGGAUCUCAACUUCUAUGGGGAGUACUGUUUUGGUGCCAUAUACCAAAGAGAAAGGAGUUUCUCCUGUCGAAGUAUGAACUAAAGUUCUAUAGUCAUGUAGUGCAAAAGGGAGCAUCUCGUGCUAAUAUUUGUAGGUUUUCACCAUCUUCUGGAUAAUCUUUUUGAUAUUCUUGUUGGCUGCUUCUACUGCGCCAUUCAUCUUCGGUCGGUAAGGUGAUGACUUAUGGUGUUCAAUUUUAAAACUUUUGCAUAACUCAUCCAUUACUUUGUUGUUUAGAUUCAACCUAUAAUGAGUUAUAAUUUUAUUAGGAACACCGUAACAACAAAUUAUCUCCUUCUUGAUAAUCUGUGUGAUCACUUGUCUUAUCACGUUGGUGUAAGAAGAAGCUUCUACCCACUUGGUGAAGUAAUCGAUAGUAACCAGGAUGAACUGAUGUUCGUUCAUAGCUUUUAGCUCGAUCAUUCCAAUUAUGUCUAUUCCCCACAUAGAGAACGACCACAUAGCAGUUAAGACAUUUAAGGGAGUUGGUGGUACAUGUACUUUAUCCGCAUAUGUCUGAAACUUAUGGAACUUCUUGAUGUAUUUUAAGAAAUCAGACUCCAUAGUCAACCAGUAAUACCCUGCUCUAACAAUUUUCAUAGCCAUCGUAUGCCCAUUGGCGUGAGUGCCAAAGGAUCCUUCACGAAUCUCUUUGAUAAGCAUGCCUUCUUCAUAUCCAUCCAAGCAUCUGAGCAAGACCAUGUCGUGAUUUAUUUUGUAAAGUACAUGACGGUUGAGGAAGAAUUGGGAUACCAAUCUUCUGAAUGUUUUCUUAUCCCCGCUAGAAGCAUUUGCAGGGUACUCUUUUUUCUGAAGGAAUUGUUUAAUGUCGUAAGACAAAGGUUUAUCAUCUGCUCCCGCUUCGACUGCUACAUAAUAUGUUGGCUCAUCCAUGUGUUCAAUUGUUAUAGAUGGUGCUUCAUUGUGCCACUUAACUUUGAACAUCGAUGCUAAAGUGGCCAAGACGUCAGCUAGUUGAUUCUCCUCCCGAGGAAUAUAGUGGAAAGUGAUCUCAUCAAAGUAGGCGAUCAAUUUUCGGACAUGGUCUCGGUACCAUAUUAGCUUAGCAUUAUGUGUCCCUCAUUCUCCUUUGAUUUGAUUGAUAACGAGAACAAAGUCUCCAUAUACUUCUAAGAUCUUGAUUCUUAGGUCUAUGGCUUCAUUAAUUCCCAAGAUACAUGCUUCGUAUUCAUCCAUGUUAUUAGUGCAGGUGAAGCAUAACCUAGAUGUGAAGGGAAUAUGGAAACUUGUGGGAGAAGUUGUGACAGCUCUGAUUCCAUGUCCUACUGCUUUUGAGGCACCAUUAAACACAAUCAUGAUCCUGGUUCAGGUCCUUCAUCAGGACAUGGGGUCUCAUAAUCCUUUAUUACUAUAACAUCUUUGUUAGGGAAUUCAAACUAUAUAGGUUGAUAAUUUUCCAUUGGUUGAUGAGCGAGAUGAUCUGCUAACACACUUCCAUUGAUAGAUUUUUGUAUGAUAUAUUGGAUGUCGUACUCAAUCAAUAACAUCUUCCAUUGGGCUAUUUUUCCAGUUACGACUGGCUUUUCAAAAAAAUAUUUGAUAGGAUCCAUCCUGGAUAUCAGCAAAGUAGUAUGACACACCAUAUAUUGUCUCAGACGCCGAGCGGCCCAGACUAGAGCGUAACAAGUUUUCUCCAAGAGUGAAUAUCAGGAUUCAUAAUCAGUGAAUUUGUCGCUCAGGUAGUAGAUUGCAUGCUCCUUUCUUCCGGUCUACUCUUGUUGCCCCAAUACACAAUCCAUUGAACUAUCAAGUACUAUUAGAUACACUAUGAGUGCUCUUCAUGGAACUGGUGGUACUAGUAUAAGUGGCUCUUGCAAAUAUUCUUUGAUUCUGUCGAAGGCUUUUUGACAACCUUCAUUCCACUAUAUGGCUUGAUCUUUUCUAAGAAACUUGAAGAUUGGUUCACAAGUGGCCGUAAGAUGCGAGAUAAACAUAGCAAUGUAGUUUAAUCUCCCCAGGAAUCCACGAACCUGUUUUUCUAUCCUCGGAACUAGAAUAUCCUGGAUGGCCUUGACUUUGUAAGGAUCAAUUUCGAUCCCUCUCUGGCGGACUAUAAACCCCAAUAAUUUCCCUAAUCUGACUCCAAAGGCGCAUUUUGCGGGACUCAGACGUAACUUGAACUUUCUCUGAAGAUCAAACAGAUUUUGCAAGUUGACUAUAUGAUCUUCUUCAGUAUGUGAUUUGGAAAUCAUAUCAUCAACAUAUACCUCUAUCUUCUUGUGGAUCAUAUCAUGGAAGAGAGUCACCAUUUCCCUUUGGUACGUUACCCCAACGUUUUUUAAUCCGAAAGGCAUUACCUUGUAACAAAAGGUGCCUCAACGGGUGAUAAAUGUGGUUUUCUCCAUGUAUGCGGGAGCCAUAUUUAUAUGGUUAUAACUGGAGAAUCCAUCCAUGAAUGAGAAGACCAAGAAUUGAGCGGCGUUAUCUACCAACACGUCAAUGUGCGGCAGAGGGAAGUCAUCUUUAGGACCGGUUCUAUUCAAAUCUCGGUAGUCCACAUACAUUCUGGAUUUUCCAUCUUACUUUGGGACUGGCACACUAUUAGCAACCUACUAUAGAUAUUUUGCAAUGGCUAAGAAUCCCACGUCGAGCUGCUUUCUUACUCCCUCUCUGAUUUUUAGUGACAUGUCUAGUCCAGUCCUCCUCAAUUUCUGCUUGACCGGCGGACACUAUGGUUUGAGUGACAUCUUAUGUACAACGAUGUUUGUGUCUAGUCCUGGCAUAUCUUGGUAUGACCAAGCAAACACAUCUGCAUACUCAUGUAGGAGCUCGACCAAUAUUUUCUUGAUUUCAUCAUUUAAGGCAACACCGACCUUGACCUCUUUCUUAUCUUCUUCAGUUCCUAGAUUGAUCACAUCCACGGGUUCCUGGUGAGGUUGUAUUUCUUUGUCCUCUUGUUUCAACAACCUGGCUAGCUCUUCAGGAAGCUCUCAGUCGUCCUCAUCACACUCUUCCGCUUGGUUAAUCGGGAAUUCGAAGUUGUAAGAGAUUAUAGCAGUGUCGUUUUCAAUAAGUUCAUUUAUUAAUCUGCAUGAAGAAGACUUUCUUAUUAUUUGUUUUUUGGAAUGAAGUGCGAGGAAUGAGAGUGUUAUGGAAAAAAUAUUACAAUUUUAAAAACAAAGUCUUGAAAUGAAAGGAAAUGAAGCUCAAUUAAAAACAAAAUGUGGUUUUAUUGAUAAAUAAGUCAUUGAAACAAAUGGGGCCCUACAAAGCUUGUCCUUUUUCCUUGGGCAUGGAAAAUGACUUAUUAUUAUUUAGAAAACAGUAAAUUACUUUGAAACAUAAAUCAUCUCUGGAAUCUCGAUGGCCUUCCAAUUGUUGAGAGUGGUAUCUGGUAAGCAACGACACACCAAGUUGGGUAUCCCUUCGUCUCCUUCUUCAACUACAGCCACAUGAUCUUCACUUCUAUAUCCAGAACUAUGGAAAGUAUCUUGGAGAGUACACAACUUCUUCUGAUUGGUCUUCUGAAACUCUUUAUUAGCCGGUUUGUAACCCAACCCGAACCAAUUCUUCUUCUCAGGUAUCUCCAACAGAUUACCCUAACCCAACAUAUCUCUGCUUUUAAUCAAUUCUGACAUAUUCUCCCAUGGAGAUAAUGACUUUUCUUUCUUGGGAAUGUAUUUUCUUCGAAUUACCGCUGAAAUUUACAAAGCUUGGAAAGGUAUUUCUAGUUUUUCUCUAUUUGCUUCAAUAUAUCUGAAUAACGAGAGGUGGCUGAUAAACAUGUCCUCCCCACCCUUAAUAAUUAUCAGUUUGUUGUCUACUAUGAAUUUCAACCUUUGGUGAAGGGUGGAGGUGACGGCUCCUGCAGGAUGGAUCCAAGGUCGUCCUAGAAGACAAUUGUAAGAUGGGUUAAUGUCCAUCACCUGGAAGGUAAUCAUAAAUGUAUGUGUCCCCGCCAUUAUUAGUAGGUUGAAUUCUCCAAUUACCAUUCUCUUCGAGCCAUAAAAGCUUUGAGUAUUGUCAUACCCCAAUAUUUCCCCUUCCCUUUUCAUUUUUCAUCCAACCUAUGACUUGAGAUUCACCUGCAUUCAUUCAUGCCUCAUUUAUGUGCAUCAUGCAUUCACAUUAACAAAUUUUCAUAAGCAUCAUAAAUUUAAAGCUUGUGGAUAGUAAAAACUUGGUUUUACAUGAGUUUUAUGACAUUUGCUCAUCAUUGGGGAAAAACCCUACAUUCUUGAUCUUUGGGACAUGGUUUCAAAGAGACCAUGUCUUAACAUUCAUCAUGACAUCAAAAACCCUAAUUUUGGGGCCCAUGUGUUAGAAGUUUGUUUGUGGAGCUUCAUGCUUUGUUUGAAGACCUUGAUUAGGGGGUUUGCAUCACCUAAACCCUAAUCAGGAAUGCUUGGUACUUGGGGUGCCCUUGUUAGUUGACUUUUUACCAUGAAAUUGAUUGAAACCCUAGCUCAUGGGGAGGAGGUUUUUGACCACCUUGUCAUACAUCUUGUUAUGAAUCAUCAAACAUUAAACUUGCCUUGUGCAUAAGAUUAAUUCAUCUGACCUACAUGCACCUAUGCUCGGGAUUUCAUCUGGUUUAAGGUUUGGUUAUUACAUCCAUUCAUAUGGUGUUGUCAAGAUCAUCAGUUUAUAAUCAAUGAUUGAUUUAAUUACAAAAGGGACCCAAAAAAGUUUUUUAUAAUUGUACUCGCUAGAGUGUUGCAACUCUAUGCCUAUGUACCCUUAAUGUUAUGAGGGAUCAGAGUAUCGUAGUUCGGGUAGAAAAUAUUUGUUUGUUCUAUCGAUUUUUAGAUUUUGAAAAGUUCUCAACGCAUCGGGGACAGUGAGAUGUUUAAUUUGAAAAAUGCCUCGAUGCACAAGGGCAUAUGACUUAUAGUUUGAAUGCAUGGAGUUGAUAUUAGUUGACUUGUUAAUUGCAGAAUGUUAUAGUUAAUUUGAUUUAGAAAUUAGAUUAGAUGUUAUGUAUAUAUAAUUAUUUUAUCCAAAUAAGAAAAAUAUUAAACAAACUAAUUAUGAAAAGAGAUUAAUGUUAUAUUUUAUGUCCCUUAACCCUAACUAUUAAUCUUAAUUUAGACUAAGUGAAACCCUACAUUUAUUCUAGAAAUUAAUCCUAUUUUCAUCCUAAAAUUAUCCUAAUUAAUCCUAAUUAAUCCUACUUAAUAAAUGUUAACUAAUUAAUAUAUUUUUUGUUCUUUUUCAUUUAUAUUAUAAGGGGAAAUAUUAUAAUAAAACUAAUUAUCAAUUUAAAUAAACUAAAUAAGUCUAAUUAUGCUCAAUUAUUCUAAUAAAAUCUAUCUAAACCUAAUCCUAAAAACUAAUUGAACACUUAAUUAUAAAUAACCUAAUUAAUCCUAAUAUUGUAUUAUUAUUUUUUAUUAUUUGUUAUUAUCAUAGGAUGAUUAAUCUCUAAAUUAUUUCUAUUAACCUAACUAGUACUAAUCAUGCUAAUUAAUUAUUUAUCUAUUAACUAAUAAUCCUAAGUAAUAAUAUAAAACAAAAUAAAACAAAUAAAAUUAGCUAAAUCAGGGGGGUAUACCUAACUGUAGAUGCAAUGUGCUAGAGGUUUGGGGGAUGUGAAAAUCAAUAUGAGAGAACCCAGAAGCCCUGAGGCCCACGUGUAGAGGGAUAAGGUCCACAGAGAGAGUCAACAAUUGACUCUCUCUGGAUCCUUUAAGAUGACUAGUCAAAGUAUCACACAAGGGAACAUUGUAAGCACGCAUGUAUCAGGAUUGGUCAGGAUCAUCAGAUUGAUUGGUUGUGGGGAGACCACUUGUUGGUAAUAUGGCGGAGCCUGGGGGAGUAUAUAAGUUAAAGCUCCAUCUGAACUCUCCCAUUUUCAAUUCUCUUUCUCUCUCUUUGCUCCCAUCUCUCUCAAUCCUCUCUUUUCGCCUCUCUUCGCUCCGCCCCUCUUUCCAGAAACCACCCCAAACCACUGUACCAAACCCAGCUCUAGUUGAACUUCAAUCGGAGAAUUGAUACCUUCAUCUAAAUCCCAAAAACACUCAUCCCACCUUCAACUUCUGGGUUCCCCAGAUGAACCCUAAACCCGAGGUCCUUACGAACCCUAACCAAGACCUCCAAAGCUUCAAUCCACUUUCCCAGAAACUUCAACCUAACCCAUACCCUAAGAACCCUAACCCUAAGAGGACCCUAUGAUUCUUCUAAUUAACCCUAACCCAUUCUUGAGGAACCAUAACCCUAAGAAGAUGAAUAUUCAUCUUCUACCUCAAACAAACCCUAACCUAUGUCCAAGUCUUACCAUCCCCCACCCAGAUUCACACUAAACCUUGACCGAUCCAUAGAUCAGUCCUCCCUGAACCCCAAUCAAACCUCUAAAUUCCCAAAAUUAAAUCAAUAAUUUUUAACCCUAACCCUAAACCCCCUUUCUGUUUACCCCAACCUCUCCCCAAAAUUAAAUCCUAAAUAACUACCACAAUAAAAAACAAGCAGGCAAGUACAACAAUACAAGUCAGAGGCUAUAUUAUGAAGCAAAAGGGAGACCAACCUACAAAAUAUAGGAGUAUUCCGAUCAACAAUGUAACUACUUUGAUCUUUUCUUCUUUUCCUUUGAAUAUGUCUGUCUCGACUACUUCUCUUCCUUCUUCUAACUCCUUCUUUCUUUUUUUGCCUGUGCGAGGUCUUUCUGGAUUCGGAUGAAGGAUGAGUUCAAGUAUGAUUAAGGUUUCGAUGUGAAACCAUAAUCAACUAUGUUGCUGAGCUUUAAGUGUGGAUUUGGGGGAUUGCAUAAGCAUUUAAUCCUUAUGGUUGAGUUUUUCCUCCUUUUUUCAUGUGAAUUUCCUAUGUAUUUAUAGAUUUAGGUUAGGUCUUAGGUCAUUAAUCUGAUUGGUAGUUUUUUAGGAAAUAUACAAUUUGAUUUCCUUGUAAUUGAUUGCAGAUUAAGGUUGUGUUUGAGAUUUGGUUAGGUUGAGAUUUAGUCUGAUUUAGGGUUUUUGAAGUCUGAUGUAUUUGGUCUAAUUUACUUGUAAGAAUCAAAUAUUCAAUGUAUCUUGUAAUAGAAAUGGAAGAUCUGAGACCUUUGACUUAAUCUGGUCAACACCUUGACCAGCUUCACAUAAGAAAUAUUUUAAUAAAAAAUAAUAUCUAACACGGUUAACUCUAACAAUAAUACUAAUAAUACAAUUAAUGACUUAUUAAUCAAAUACAAAUAAAUUUUGACUAAUAGAAAUAAUAUUAAUCAAUGCCUAAUUAAUAAUAUUUAUCUAUAAUAUAAUUUAAUAAAAAAGCCCCGUAAACUAUAACACGGCUACAAAAUAAUGCAUUACCCUAAUAAUUAAUUCCAGUAAUAACAAUCAAUAUCUUAAAUAAUACAAUACUAAUAAUAGAGUUUAAUAAUUAAACCUAAUUAAAAGUUACUAUUAAAAUAUAUUAGACUAACCAUAGAACAUAAUAUGAAUGAAUUAAAUUAUAUUAAUAAUAGAUAUUAUUUUCCAAAAACUCUUUCUAACAAAUUAAUUAUAACUAUAAAACUAUAAUAUUUUCCUAAAAACUAUUAAAUCAAAUUCUGUCUAAAAAACUGCUAUUAUAAUGUUUAUAAAAAUUAAUAAAAUAUUUCAUUUUAACUAGUUAAAUUAAAACUAUAUAUUAAACUUAAAUAAGGUCUAAAAUCAACUCUUAAGAAAAAGUCAAAAUGAUUUCCUUUGAUUUUUUAGGUCAUUGGGGAUAUCAGACCGCUGGUGAGCUCUAGUUCUGUUAGUAGUCUAAAUUCUAAGUAAGAUGAAAAGAAAAAAGAAAAAUGGUUAAAAUUUGGGGUAGGACAGAAGAUUAUUCUAAAAAUUCAACAACAACAUCAACACUAUUAUGUUGGGAUGGAUUGUGAGAGUAGAAACAAAUAUUUUGUUCAAGAUAGAAGAAUAUUGAAGAUUUUUUUUGUCUUCCAAUCCAUCCUAAAGAAUGAUGCUUACAAGUUUGGAGCGGUUACAUAUAAGUUAGGUUUAUGGUAAAAUCUUAUUAACGCAUACUUUUAUAGUAAAAUCUGAUUAUCUAAUCUCUCGGUUAUUAAAGAUAAUCGAAUGAAUAGAUCAUUAAUUUAAAAAUAAAAUAAAAAUAAAGACACCACUUUUAAAGAAAUAAAAAUAUCAGCUACAUUUGCAGGGAUUCGAAACAUGUCCUGGAUUAUUUUUUCCCUCAGUUAUAUUUAAACACCGAGGGAAUAUGUAGUAUUUAUUUAAAAAUAAAUAAAACAUGUUGUACCUUGGCAUUAUACCUCGGUUUUUUGUUGAGUGAGGUGAAAGUUGUAUCAUAAAAUGUAUUAUUUAUAAUAGUGAGGGGAAAAUGGAAGAACUAUAAAACCUAUGAUUUAUUAAAAAUUGAAACAAAAUAUUUGUAUGAAAAAAUGUGGAUCUAUGUGCUAUAUAGGUAUAACCAUAAUUUGAUUUUGAUGAUGAUAAUUGUCAAGAGGGUUAAAGGAUGAUAAUUACAUAUGUAAAAGGAAGUUUGGUGUUAAUGAUUCAAGAAAUUCUUGGUGAAAACUGACAGACGGGGAGGUGAUUGCAACUCUCAAGUGGUUCUUGAUGAUGACAUCCAAACAAGAUACAACAAGCCUCACCAGUCAAAGAUAUUAAGUUUCAGCAGAAAGUGCUAGACAUUGUUGAAUCAAGUAAGGAACUUAAAUAUUUGAAGCUAUGACAUUUAAGCUUCAAUACUUGAAGUUGUGAAAGUGUGAAAGCUUAUGUGGUCCCACACUUAGGUUUUUCCCCUAGUCUUGAUUAAUUUAUUAUUAAAGGAACAAGAGUAAGUCUUGAGGUACUAAGGCAAUGUACACAUACACAAAAUAAUUUUCAAACCUUUUAUCUCUUUUGAUAAAAUGUCUUAAAACCUUUAUGAGCAUGUGCUAAAUUGGUUAGAAGUUUGGUUAAUAAAUUAUGAAGGUACUUUAUAGUGGUUAAUCGAUUAAGGACUUUCUCUAAUCAAUUAAAUCUAUUUGUAACACCUCUUAAUCGAUUAAAUAAUUUGUUAAUUGAUUAGGCGACAUCAAAACUCACACCUUCCUAAUCUAGGUUGAUUAAUCGAUUAUUGCCUAGGAUUAAUCAAUUAAAUCAUUAAAAAGUCCAUGGAUUGUUUCCUUUUUUUUUAUCAAAUGUGUUUUAUUAUAUAAAGGAGACUCCUCUUCAUUUAAUUUCACAUCAUCUUUUGAAUAUAAACCUUUAUACUAUUCUUUCUAGUCUUUUCUAUUUUUUUUCACUAGAAUUGCCUUAGUGGCAAAAGAGUGAAAAUUUUCUUUUGAGAGUUAGGUUGUACUAGUGAUGUGAUAAUUUUUAUCAAAUAGUGUUAUUCACUUGCGUAAUAUCUUUGUAAAAGAUUUGCAGUGUGCAAGCUAAACUUGAAAAAUCUUGGGUGAAGGUUUUAGAGUUAAGUCUGUGUAAAUUCUCUAGUUAUUGAUAAAGGUUUAUGGGUUGAUUCUAUGCAAUAUCUCAAAUUAUAGUUGAAGGUUGUUUUGGUUGAUCCUGUAAAAAUUCAAGGUUAUUUUUGUGUAUAGAAAUAUCAUGAGGAAACUCUUGGGGACAAAAAUAUGACAAGUGGUUAGGUCGAACCUUUAUAAUUCUAUGGUGUGAUAUUUUUAUCUCUUAUCUCCUUUACUUUCAGUCUUUUAUUUUCUUUUGUUAUCCCUAUGUUUUUUUGUUUAUACUAAUAUAAACAUUUUCAAAGUCAAAUGAUUUUAUAAAUCGUUUUCAAAUUUUGAAUAUCACAAUUCAUCCCUAGGUGUUUAGAAUCACUUAGUGAACAAAAAUAAUCUGGAUAUGAUCCUAUUUAAUCAAAGAGCCUCUUAUAAUAAAGUAGGUCUUGGUUAUUAACCUGAUAGUUACAUCAAACCCUUCAAAAAUAUAUGCCUUGCUAAAAAGAAAAAUCAUAUUAUUUACAAAUUCAAUUAUUAUCGUAGAAAUGGUCACACUGAAUCUUAUUGUUUUGAUAUAAUUUAUGAUUUAAAGCGGUCCCAUAGAUUCACUUCUAAUAAAAUGAGCCACCAUAAAUCCACUAACACAAAAUGAUCCAAAAAUGUUUGGAUACCAAAAGUUAUAACCUAAAUUGUUUUUUUGCGGGAAUGUUUUUAGGAGAGUGUCAAGUUCUAAAAAAAUAAAAAAAGAUGCUCAAAGCGUGUAAUUGAAGAGUUUUUGAAUUAUUUAAAGAGAGUGUCAUAAAUCAAGAAUUAGAGAAAUAAAUUGAAAAGGCAUCUCUUAUUAAAAGAUUCAAAGAAUCAAUAAAGAAAAGAGACAAAACUUUAACUCCCUUAAGAAUCAAAUGUUCUUUGUAGGCUUUAGGUAAAUGAGUAGUUAGAAAACAAACACGGAAAAAUUUGGUUAUUCUUAUAAAAGGUGUUAAAUUAAAGCAUUUACAUUAUUUUUUCUACUAACUAUGUGCUAAAGUUUUAAUUUCAAUAAAAGGGAGGUUAGAACAAAAAAAAGGAAGUCUUAAUAACAGUUCGAGCCAAAUCUGUUUCCAGGCCCAAAAGGAUCCUAAGGAUCCUAGGAGUUGAAAUUUUUUACCCCCUAAUCAAUAAGACCUCAGGGUUAAUUUGUUAGGACUAUUUGAGUUUCAAAUAUAACAUUCUCUAAUCUUUUAAACCAAAUUAUCUAAUCGAUUAAAAUUUCAAAAGUUGAAACUAUUUUCAACAGCCAAUUAGAAAUCAAUUAUAGUUAAUGACCUAAUCGAUUAUAAUAACUUAUAAUCAAUUAAAAUGUUGCUAUGAAUAGGUAAGCAAUUCUCACUUUCUUCUCAAUCUCUCUUAUAUUCAUCUACUUGUUAUAUUCUUCCUUACUUUCUUUACUUUUGUUAUUUAUGUGUUUCUAUUCAUCUUGAUCACCAAAUGGCACCCAAGAGAAUCUCUACCUUUAAAACCGGUAUUUUAACAUGGGUUGAUCUCAAAUCUUGAUGAGCUUUUAUCACACGCUGAACUCGAACCGAACUGGGGUUUUCAUGGGCUAACCACAAACCUAGAGAUUUUAUACCAAGCUGAUUUCCAACCUUAAUAAGCUUUUGAUUGGCCUUAACUUAUUAACCUAAAAGAGGUUUUAUAUAGGAUAACCACAAACAAAAUUCAUAUUUUAUAUCGCGAUAAUCUCGAACCUAUGAAAGCUUUUGACAGGUUGAACUUUCGAACAUAAGCGAAGACUUAAUCAUAAAAUCCCAAAAUGAAAGCUUUUAACAGGUUUAGCUUAGAACCCAAACAAAAAAUCCUAAAUGGAUAAAUUAUUCAACCAAGGUAGAAAUGUUCCUUGGUUAAUUUACAAUUUUAUCCUUUUAAAAAUUUCAUAAUUGCCUCACUCGCAAAAGACGUUUCUCGAAAGCAUUACGACUAUUUUUAUAAGUGAGAGAAAGUGUGAAAAUUGUUUUAGAGAUAGUGAGGUAUGAGAAAUGAGAGAUCACGUUUCAUGGAUGUAAAUAUGUGUAGUAAGGGUGCUCUAUUUAUAGUUUAGAGGGUGGAACAAAAAAGGAAAAAAAUUAAGGCCAAAAAAAUGAGUCAAUCAAUUGGCUCAAGGCGCAAUCAAUUGGUAGAAAAAAAAUUAAUAAAUUAGCAUGUUUUAAAAGAUAAGAAAAUAUAUCUAGACAUUACCAUUUAUUAAGGCUCUUUCCUAAACGGUUAUGGCACAUUUUUACUCUGAUAUAAUCAAUUGGAUAUAAGUGUCAAUUGAUUGGUUAACACAAAAAAUUUCCUAGAGCAUUUUUGACAACUGCCAAUUUAUCUGGCACGACUUCAAGACAGUUUUAGAAAUACUUUCUUAGUAGAAACAAGUUCUAAAAAUUGGCUUAGUAUUUGUGUGUAUGUGCGAUUAGCCGUAUAACUUUAGGAGAAUGAUCUUAAGCUUUUACAAUAUUUGUUCCCUCAGACGUAUUAGGGCGAACUUUCAGACACUUUAAGACUUGUUAGAUGCUUCAAUCUUAUAGGCACUUUCUUGAACCUUACUUGGUGAUUAGGCUUGAGCUAUAUUACAUUUAGAUGCCAUCAUCAUAUGAUCAAACUUAUUAACCCUACUUAGUCUGCUUGCAUCUUUGGCGGCUGUGUGAUUGGUUUAAGUUGUUAGCAUCAAAAACUAGUUGUCAUCGUUAAAAGAAUGUUCCUCUUCACGACAUGUUCAUUGAUUAAUAACCUAUAAAACAUGGUUCCACAUUUUAUGCCAAUCUCCACUAUAUAAAUGGGGUAGUCGUAUCUGAGGUAUGUUAAACACAUAUUUAUCUCACCAUUGAGGAAUUUUCCGAUAUUUAUGAUUUACUUGUCUCUGGCUCCGUCUACAAGUCAUAAAUUCCCUUUCACGGUGAGAUUCAUGACUCUUUGCAGUAUUUUCAAAAAUUAUAUCUCUAAUAGUUAUAUAAGACGAAAGACUGAUGUUGGAAACCUAUCCCAGUAAUAAAAUCUAAAGAUACAAAAAAUGUUGAUUAUUAAUAGGAAACAUAAAAAUGAGUUAAAAAUCAUCAAAACAACUCAAAGAAGAAAAAUUAGUACAAACACGUCAAAAUAAGAUAGAAGAAAGCAAGAAGGAGAUCAUAAAGGAAAAUGUUGACUCAUUUGAAUAAUCAAAUGAAGAGGUAAAUGUUUUUCUUAUAACGAACUAUGAAGAUGAUGAGAUAAAUAUUCCUUCCUUUAAAUAAAAUUUAUGAUCUAAGUAUAAAGGUUAUCAAGGAAAAUAAUGAGUUAGAAAAAAUAAUAUGACAUAUAAUAAUAAUCAUUUACAUCUCUAGAAGAAUAAAGUGAAUGAAUUAUAGAUGAAGUGAAUUAGGUUAGAAUAAGCAUCUUGAAAACUCAUCAUAUGAACUGUAAAACCUAUGAUUUAUUAAAAGUUGAAAUAACCAUAAUUAUGUGCUAUGUAGGUAUAACCAUAAUUUGAUUUUGAUGAUGAUAAUUGUCAAUAGGGUUAAAAGAUGAUAAUUACAUAUGUAAAAGGGAGUUUGAUGUUAAUGAUUCAAGAAAUUCUUGGUUAAAAUUGUCAGAGGGAGAGUUGAUUGCAACUAUCAAGUGGUUCUUGAUGAUGGCAUCCAAACAAGAUACCACAAGUCUCAUCAGUCAAAGAUAUUAGGUUUCGGAAGAAAGUGUUAGACAUUGUUGAAUCAAGUAAGGAACUUGCAUACUUGAAGUUAUGACCUUUAAACUUGAAUACUUGAAGUUGUGAAAGUGUGAAAGCUCGCAUGGUCCCAAACUUAGGUUUUUCCCCUAGUCUUGAUUAAUUUAUUAUUAAAGGAACAAGAGUAAGUCUUGAUUAAUUUAUUAUUAAAGGAACAAGAGUAAGUCUUGAGGUACUAAGACAAUAUACACAUACAUAAAAUGCUUUUCAAACCGCUUCUCUCUUUUGAUAAAAUGUCUUAAAUCCUUUCCGUGCACGCUCUCAACUGGUUAUAAGCUUGGUUAAUAAAUUAGGAAGGUAUUUUAAAGUGGUUAACCGAUUAACAACUUCCUCUAAUCGAUUAAAUAACCUAUUAAUUGAUUAGGUGAUGUUAAAACUCAAACUUUCCUAAUACGGGUUGAUUAAAUGAUCAUUGCCUAGGGUUAAUUAGUUAAAUCAUUAAAAAAGCCCAUAGAUUAUUUCCUUUUUUAGCCAAAUAUUUUUUAUUAUAUAAAGGAGACUCCUCCUCUUUUAAUUUCACGCCAUCUUUUGAAUAUAAACCUUUCUACGAUUCUUUAUACUCUCUUCUAAUUUUUUUUACUAGAGUUGCCUUAGUGGCAAAAGAGUGAAAAUUUUCUGUUGAGAGUCGUGCUCUACUAGUGAUAUGCUAAGUUUGAUUUAUUAAAGAUUGUUUUUCUCUUGCGUAAUAUCUUUGUAAAAGAUUUUAAGGUUGCAAGCUAAACUUGAAAAAUCUUGGGUGAAGAUUCUAGAGCUAAGUCUAUGUAAAUUCUCUAGUUGUUGCUAGAAGGUUUAUGGGUUUGAUUCUAUGCCAAAGAUCAACUUAUAGUUGAAGGUUGUUUGGGUCUAUUCUCUAAAAGCUCAAGGUUAUUUUUGUGUUUGAAGAUAUCAGAAGGAAACUCUUGAGGACAAACGUUUGUUAAGUGGUUAGGUAUAACCUGUAUAAUUCUCUUGUGUGAUAUUUUUUUUAUCUCUUAUCUCCUUCACUUUCAGUCUUUUAUUUUAUUUUUUGAUGGUUUAUAUAUUGUUUUCAUUAUUACUUGGUUAUUCUAUGUUUUUUUGUUUAUACUAACAUAAACAUUCAAAGUCAAAUGAUUUUUUAAAUAGUUUUCAAAUUUUGAAUAUCACAAUUUACCCCAAAUGUUUGAAAUCACUUAGUGAACAAAGAUAACCUUGACAUUAUCCUAUUUAUCCCAAAACCACUUAUAAUAAAGUAGGUCUAGCUUAUUAAACUAAUAGUGAAUCAAACCCUUCAAGAAUAUAAGCCUUGCUAAAAAGAAAAAUCAUAUUAUUUAUAAAUGUAAUUAUUAUGGUAGAAAUGGUUACACAUAACUCUUCAAAAAUAGGUCUAGGUUUUAAAAUAAUUUAAGAUUUAAAGUGGUCUGAUAGAUUCAAUUCUAAUUACAUGAGUCAUCAUAAAUCCACUAACACAAAAGGACCCAAAACAUUUGGAUGCCAAAAGUUAAAACCUAAGUUUGUAAUCGUCAAAAGAAUGUUACUCUUCAAGAUAAAUUCAUUGAUUAAUAACCUACAAAAUAUGGUUCCACACUUUACGGCAAUCUCCAUUGCAAAGAUGGGGUAGUCACAUCUGAGGUAUGUUAAAUACAUACUUAUCUAACCAUUAAGGAAUUGCAGAUAUUUGUGACUUACUUGUCUCUGGCUCCCUCUACACUUUUUAUGCUCCUAGUGUUGUGGAAAACUUCAACCUUCUCUCCUCUAAUUGAUCCAAUAACAAGUCACAAAUUCCCUUUCACGGUGGGGUUUGUGACUCCGAAUUUUCAUCUCAUUCACUAUAUAGCUACCUGUGUUUUAGUCUCAAGGAAAUUCAACAUCGGCAGCUGUCGAGGAUUCAUGUGUUGGUCCUUUGGCUACUAAAUAAGAACAUUAAAACCAAUUGGACUAGUUGGCUACUGUUGUAGGAAGAGGAACACAUGGUUACCGUAUGGUGACUUGAUUACUAAAAUUAUGCUAAUCGGCGACAAAGAAAAGUUUGAUGAUAUAUGUACAAAAAUUGGAAAAAAAAAGUUUGAAAACGAUGCUAAUCAACGACAAAUAUGGAUCCUUGGUGCAUAGUUCUCCUCUUAAGGCUGUUUCACAAAAAUAAUAAACUACACUGCACCAACUAGCAUCUCAGCAAGCAAGGUCAUCGAACCUAGAAGAUUUUUAUCAUGAGAUUCCUCACACUCCUCCUACUGAAUCUCUGCUCACUAUAAUCCUAAAAAACACUCAAGCUAGAAACAUGGGACAUGAAUAAAACACCAGAACUCUUAAUUGGAUGGCUGCCGAAGUUUCUUUCCAUGCAUAUCUAUUAGAUAACACAAAAGUACCAAUUCCUCAUAGGUUUUUUUUUGAUGAUAAUGAUGGGAAAAUGAUUAGUUCUUCAUGUUAUAUUUGGGCUUGAUUUAUUUUGCUUGUUUUCUUUUCUAUUAUUUUUCUCAUUCAAGUUGUAAUCCUUACUCCUUUUAAUAUAUAUAUAUAGUAUAAUAAUUAUACAUAUAAUAUAUAUAUAUAUAUUAUAUAUAUAUAAUAUAUAUUAUAUAUAUAUAUAUAGUUCUCGUUCAUCUAACUUGACUAAAUAUGUCUUUGUUUCGUCUAUAUUUUAUCAACUUGAUAAAAUAUGUUCAUCUAACUUGAUAAUAUAUAUAUAUAUUUUUGAUAAUGAUAAACUGGGAUAAGUACACUCUCAAAAGGACUAAAGUAUACUCUCUUAUCUAUGAGGAAAAGUUAACUAAUACAUUCUUGUUUCGUCUAUAUUUUUAUGGUUGACCAUUUCUCUAAUGAAAUUUCUCUGAUGAAAUUUCUAGAUGGUAACAAUAUCAAUUUAAUUAUUUUUAUGUUUGUCGUGUUAUAAUUUUAUCUUAUGUGAUUCACUUACAAUAAGUCAUUCACUCACUCCUAGGUUGAAAAUCUCUUUACAUGCAUAAAAUGGGCAUUUAACAAUAAAGUUAAUGCAAUUGACUCAUUUGUAUGAUUCAAACCAAGUGUUAAUAUUCAACAUGAUUCGAACCGUGAGUAGCUUUGAUUCGAAUAAUGAGAUUUCUUGAUUUUUCACAUUUGAAUUUGGAAAACAUGAUUCGAAUCAUGGUCUCAUCUAAUUCGAAUCAUGAACACUUUUUUGAAAAUUAAUUUAAGGUUAGAAAUGUGAUUAGAUUCAAGGUUUGGUGUGAUCUGAAUCACAUGUUGAAUAUUCUUAAUUCUUGUUAAUUCAUUUGAAUCUUCUCAUCUUUUGACUUGAAUCAUACUUUAUGCUUUUGAAUUGAAAUAGUCAGUUUCCAUUAUUUUUGUGCCCUAUCUCUAGCAUAUAUAAAACUCUCUCUCUCUCUCUCUCACACACACAUACACAUACACACACACACACACACACACACAUACACAAACACACACACAUAUAUUUUAAACAACCAUGAAAUUAACGAUUCAUUCACACAUUCAUUUUUCAAGAGUGAAACAUUGAGUUUGUGUGAGAUUUUCUGAAAAACUUCAUCUUCUUCCUUAAACACAAAAAACCAUUAUUGAGUCUGAGUGUUUCUCAUCUCUAAAAGAGAGUAUGAGUUCUUGUUGUGAGAGGAUUCAUUAGAUUUACUAAUGAUUUUUAUAAAUCUUUCCAGAAAAAAUAUCUGGUUGUGGAUUUCUUUGAGAGAUCUCUAUUGAAGAAAGAUAAAAAGUCUCCUCCAAAGAGGUUUUUGAAUUUAUAGCAUCUGUCACAAGGUCAAAGAAUUGGAUAAGGUAAAUCUCGAUAGAAUCAAGUGAAGAGUGUUGUGGAAAGGGAGCUUGGGGUGCUUGUGAUAUGUGAAGGUCAAUCAACUCAAGAUCGUGGAAUUUGGAGUGUUUAGAAGCCUUGUGAGUUGUGUACAUUUAAAGAAGAAUCAAUAAUUAGUUUGUGUAUCUUAGUAGUUAUUACUAAGUAUUGCAACAUUUUGUUUUCUUAUCAUAUAUACAAAAGGACAUUAUAAAUUUCAUAGUGGAAGACUGCCACAAAUUUUUAAUGGUUUACCAUUAUAGACCGAACUAGGUGCAAACGAUGAUGACACACUGAACCAAUAUAAAUCCCAACCAAUAUAAAUCCCAACGUACAAUCUCUCUUACUAUUUCUCUUUAGUUUCCUGUUUAGAUCAUGCUUGACACUUUUAUCAUUUCUCUUAAUUUGCAUGCAGUUAGGUUUAUUCCUUGUCCAUAGAGAUUUAUUGUUUAAGUUUAAGUUUGUUUAAAUCUAGUCUUAUAGAUUUUCUUUUCUGCUGAUUAUUAUGAAAUAUUGUAAUUCUAGAAUGUUUAAUUAGUUAAUUCAAUUAUAUUCAAAUUUUUCUAUUUGAAUUUAAGAAUAUUGACUCUUACAUUCUUAUUAGUCCAAUUCAUCAUUGAUUUGCAAUUCCUUAAUAUUUUUCCUUGUACAUUUAUUUGACCGCGUAAUCACAAUUAUCGCUUUUCAAACUUUAAUUCUUCUCUCAAACUUUGUUUUUGAAAAUAUAUUUAAGAAGGGAAAUGUCUAUUCAACAUCCCCUUUCAGACCAUUCUUCGCUGACAUUCAACCUACAAGUGGCAUCAAAAGGUUGUCAUUUGAUCAAGUCUCACGAAGACAAAAGUUUUUAAUAUGGGUAAGGACAAUCCAAAUGGUGUGUUUAAUAUAGAUCUCAUUUUCCAUUAAACAAAUUACACAUAUUGGAAAGAUUGCAUGUACGUACAUCUUAUGUCCGUUGAUAAUUGAUAGAAUUGUUCUGUAACUAUGAUAGAAUUAUUCUAUCAAUAACUUACUUUGGGUUGCUAUGGAGGAUGACCCUCUUUUAUCCUUAAAAGUAUCGUAGAUGGCAUUUAUGUUAAGAGAAUCCCUAAAGAUUGGAAUGAUGAAAAAACUGAAAAGGUAUCUUACGAUUUGAAAGCGAGAAAUAUAUUGAUACCCAUCUUGAGCGUUAAUGUAUAUUUUUCAAUUUCACGUUGUAAAACAGCUAAAACAAUGUGGGAUGCACUUCAGAUUCUCCAUGAGGGAACUAGAGAUUUUAAAAAAUCUAAAAUUAACACUUUAGUAUAGGAGUAUGAAUUCUUCCAUAUGGAACUCAGAGAAUCCUUGGAUUCCAUUCAUAUGAGAUUCUCCCAUAUAGUCAACACGUUAGAAAAUGUAGGUAAGACUAUAUGUCUAUAUCUAAUCAGGAUUGUGCUAACAAAAUUUUACGGUCUAUGUUGGCAGUCAAAAGUAAUUGUCAUCAAAGAAUCCAAUGAUCUCUUGAUAUGUCAACACUUUUCACAAAGCUCACUAAACUUGAACGUGAGUUGAAAAGACUUGAAGCAAGUGAAGUCAAAUCAAAGAGGAAUGACAGAUUUAAUGAAGAGAAGAAACGUAUUUCCUUAAAGGCCUCUCCACUUCCAAAGCUAAAGUAGAGGAUGAUGAAGAUAUUAGUGUCAUACCCCAAUUUUGUCUCCUUCUUUUUAUCUUUUUUUUUCUUCUUUUCCUGCUCAUGCUAAAUUCAUCUGAUACACCAUAAAAUGUUUCAUCUAAUCCAUCUUACAUUUUAUUUUACUUAAUGGUUCAAAGGUUCUCCGUUCAUCUAUAUAUUUUGUCGGUUUGUGACUUAUAAUUGACUAUUGAUUGACUUUGAUCAUUUCAAUAUUAUUAACCAUGUUCAGGACAAUGUUGACUUUUAUCAUUAGUGUUGAUUUUUUCCAUGCGUUGACUUUUAGAUAAUUGUUAACUUUAUCAUUAUCAUUACUUUUAAUUAUUAUUGACUUUUCGUCAUUGAUUGAAUGUUAUUGACUUUGAAUCGUUAUGAGCAUUAAUCAUUGUUGACUAUUUUCUUAUCAUUUUUUCUUUGACCAUGCUUUGGCUUUUGUUGACUUUUUGGAAAGAAAGAGAAUAUCUUUAUUCAUGAGUAAUUGGAAUGCAUUAAAAGCAUCACAAAGCUUUAUUACAAGGAAAAAGAUCAAUUACAAAAAGAAAACUGCAAAUUUUGGUAAGUUGACUUUUUGGUCAACAGUUGACCAUUGACUCAAUUUUGACUUCUGAAUUUUCUUAGACCUAUUCUUCAAACAUUUGACCAAAGGACUCAUCAUUAUUCAUCAAAAAUUAAUUAUUCUAUGAUUAUGUUACAAAUGCUAAUUUCCAACAACUCAAAAUUUAAUCUUCCAUCAAGUUCCAUUCUCAUGCCUUUUUCUUCAUUCUUUGGUGUCCCAUCAAUCUCAUUCUUCCACCAAAAUGCUCACUUUACUACAAGGAAGAAGGUACACCAAGUUAGACAUUCAUAUCAUUCAUUAAAAUCAUCAAAAUGCUAUGGAAAAGUCAUAAAAAAAGUUUUUGCACUACUUCACAAAAAUUCUGCAUUAUUCCUAAAAUUCAAUACCUGUUUUUUCAACACUUUUCAAUAUUGAUUCAUGUCCAAAAAAUCAUAAUUUGAUCUAUAAUUUUACACCAUUCAAAAGUGCAUUUUUUCAACGUAAAAUCACUUCUCAAAAGCACUUAAAGUCAUGGGAUAAUUCACCAAAAAUUCAUGGCAAAAGUGACAAAAAAAAUCAAAGACAAGAUCAUUAAAAAAUUCUAAAUUUCAUGCACAAUCACCAAUGAUCUUUUAUCUUACAUUCUAACUUGAUACUUUUGCAAAAAUUAAACAUCAAUGAACACCUUUCCAAACUAAAAUGUAGAAACCGAAUCAACGCCGAACCAAAACAUGAACCAAAUACCAUACGUGCUAUAUUGUAAACAAAUUCAGAGUUGAAACCAUGCUUGAACCAAAACGAAUCAUAGAUGGAAACGUACCGAACCGCCAAUCCAAAACGCAAAAAUCGUAAAAUAGUUAGCAGAUUUGAUGUUGUUUUAGUGCAGGAAUCGCAUGUCCAAGUCGCGAGCAUGAACUGAUAAUGAUGUUGUUCAGCUUCUUUUCCAAAUCACGUUUACGCACUGCAUUCUUCGGCUCCAAUUCGAUUUCUCAUUCUGUGUUCUAUUUCCUGCAGCAUUUUCAUACUACACUGUUUUUCUCUACACCAGGGCCGGCCCAAUCAAUCUGGAGGCCCUGUUUUAAUUUAAUAAAUAGGCCUAAAUCUAAAAUAUAUAUAUAAUUUAAUAAUAAAAAAAUACACUAAAAAUUCAAAGUAUUGUUUAAACUAAUAAUAUCUUUUUAUACAAUAUAAAGUUUCUAACUACUUAAAAAGAGCCUUCCUCCUAACACUUUUUGAAGCAAAUUCAUCAACCAAAUCCUCAUAUUUUACUGUCUCCAAAAGAUCAUUUUCAACUGCUAUCAACGCCAAUCCGUUAAGUCUUUCUUGUGACAUGGUAGACCGCAAGUAAGUCUUUAACAACUUUAAUUUUGAAAAGCUUCUUUCUGCAGAAGCAACUGUCACAGGAAUAGUCAACAAAAUUCUAUAUGCAAUAACUGUAUUAGGAAAACAAUCCAAGCCUUUUGAAAAUAAUAAUAUAUCAGUAGGUCUUAUGAUUUCUUCAGGCAACAUUUGUCUUAGUAACUUUAAUUCCUCAAAAAAUUCAUUCCCGUCAAUGUCAGAUUGCUCAUUAUGUUUCAGUACUCGUUCAAAGUUACUACAAAAAGACUUCAAAGUUGCAUCAUCCAAUGAUUGUAACUUGUGAGAAGUAAACAAGAAACCAAAAAUACUUUCAUACUCUUGGUAUUGCUCAAAUCUCUUAUUAAGAGAAACAACAGCUUGAUCAACAAGGUAAAGAAAAUAAUUAACCCUGAAAGAUUCCUCUUCAGAUAGCUCGACUGCUGGUGUAUUCAAAUUCUCAUCAAACUGUCUUUUUCUUUUAAUUAUACGCCUUUGAGGAAAUAUUGGAGCGAUAUUCAAUUCAACCGCAAUUUCCUUAGCAUUAACCAAUGCCUUAUGAAAACCUGUUUCUCUAUAUCCUUCAAAAAAUGAAAUCAACUCCUUUAUUUUUUCCAUAGCAACAUCAAUAAGCAUAUCCUUUUCCUGUAAAAGCUUGCUAACAAAAUUAAUUGCAGAUAAUAUUUCAAACCAAAUAAUUAUAGCCAUCAAAAAUUCAAAAUCACCAAGCUCAUUAGUUGCUAAGGAUUUAGCUUCAUUUUGUAUCUUAGGAUCGAGAUCAUGUUCUGACACUUCAAGUAAAGCUUCUGUAAAAUCUGACAUUUGAGUUCUUAUAGCUUUGACACUUUCAACACGACUUUCCCAACGAGUGGAUGAUAAUGAUUUUGGAGUCAACCCUUUUACAUUAUCUUUCAAAAUUUGCCAUCUCUUUGUUGAAUUAGCAAAAAUUGUGUAAAUGCGUUGAACAACUCCAAAAAAAUUCCUAGCUUUAUUACAAGAGUUAGCCAUAUCACACAAUGUCAAAUUAAGACUAUGACAACCACAAGGAGUAUAAAAAGCUCUUGGAUUUAUGUCUAAAAAUCGCUUUUGUACACCUUGAUGUUUUCCUUUCAUAUUUGACCCAUUAUCAUAACCUUGUCCUCUUACAUCAAAUAGGUCGAGACCAAGUUCUUUCAAUUCAUUUUGUAAAACAUCAAAAAGCCCUUGACCAGUUGUAUCAUUCACAUUCAAAAAUCCUAAAAAUGAUUCCUCAAUGCUAAUAGAAGUUGAAGAAACAUCCACAUAUCUUAUUAUCAAAGACAUUUGCUCUCGGUGACUAACAUCCGGAGUACAAUCAAGUAUUACUGAGAAAUACUUUGCUUGUUUGAUUUUUCUAAUGAUUUCAAUUUUAAUUGCAGAACCAAGUAAUGAAAUCAACUCAUUUUGUAUUUUAUGUUCAAGAGCUCCUGCUUGAGAUUGAAUUAACUCUUCAAUUUUUUUCCUUUUUUUACGUUUAUCAUUUCCACAUUCAUACUUUCUAUUCUUAGGAGGCAUAAUAGGAGGCAUAGUAAAAAAAAACCUGGAAUAUCUCACAAUGUCUUGUGUCCGCCAAUGAUCAACUCUGCAAUAUUUACUAGCAAUCGAUCUAUUUGUAGCCUCGUUGUUAAAUUAAGUUCCUACAAUAAAUUAUUAAUUAGUGCAAGCAAAAAUAGUACCAGAAAAAAAAAACAUGUUUGUAAUCAUCAUAAAAUGGGAUUAUUAAUAAUACUUUAAUUAUAUUAUCACUAUUUUUACUAACACUACUAUGAAAUAUACAGAAAAUAAAAUGCUCCAAAAUUAAUUAUUUUUAAUUUUAUCUUACUGUUGUUGAUAUUUUCUAUUACAAUUAAUUCUAAAUUUUAGAUUCUAUCAUAAACUAUUGUCUAUUGAGAUAAUUGAAUGAGUCACACACAUAGAAAUGACAUACUCUUGACACAACAAUAUAAAAAGCACUUCUUUGACAGCUUGCAAUCUUUCUAUCACACUUCUUUGACAACUUGCAACCUUUCUACUUUUCAAUUAGUUUUUAAUAUGAACUAAUCAAAACUCAAAAGUAUAAAGUAAUAAAAAAAUACAAAAUAAUCUCAUAACUCAUUAUUCUACUUAUACCAUUUAUUUGACAGCUACUACUCGGCACUCACUAUUCUCUAUUCAUUUCUCCAUCUCUAUUCUUUUCUUCUUUCUUCUUUGAAACCUAACUUAACCCAUUUCUUCUUUUCUUUUUACAGUAAAAUUAACUCAACCAAUUUUAGAAUUUUAGGAGAAAAAAAACACAAUAGAGCCAUGGGAGAAAGAAUCAUAAACCAAGAAACACAUACAAGUUUCUAUCUAUGUAUGUUCUUUCUUUAAUUUUAUAUUUUUUUUCUUUCAAAACAUGAAACUAAACUACUUUGAUUUGAACAAACUUACCGAUUAAACUGCACUGCCGUCGUCUCACACUCUCACCGUCGCCGUUUUGUUUUUUUCUUUCUAAUAUUGUUUUGUUUUUGGUUUAUUAUGUGAUGUAUAUAAACAACUUUGUUUUGGGUUUCUUUAAUGCCGACGUUUCAUUUUCCUUGGCGUCUUUUCGGUUUUAGGUUGCGUUUGGAAUGAGGAAAAAUAAUAUAUAUUUUAAAUUUUUUCAUAUUAAUUAGAUUUAAAAAAAAAAAAAAUAGGCCCCCAAAAUUUUGGGGCCCAGUUCCAUAGAGCCUGUUGCGCCUGUGAAAGGCCGGCCCUGCUCUACACGCUUUAGUUCUCAUCUUGUUUUUACUAUUCACUAUUUUACAUAUUUAUAUUAUAUUAAUUUUACUUUAUUUAAUAUAAUAUGUCAUAUGUUUAUUUUAGAUUUAGAUUUAAUUGAAAUAUAUUAACAGUGUAAAUUUUUUUUACACCGUCCGUCAAUCCUAGAUGUUUGAUAUUAAAAUAAGUUUGAUUUUUAUUUUAAAAAUCUAUAAAUAAUAUAAACGGAUGAUGGUGAUAAAUCGACGGUGUAAAUCUUUUUACAUUGAUAAUAGAUAGUAAUUAAUCUAAGUGGUUUAUGGAAAAGAAAAUAACUAAGUAUUGCUUUUCCAGUUAUUCUAAGUUAAUGCUAUUACUUUUCUUUUUUCUAAUUCCUAUUACACUCAUGUCACGUUAUUCUUCUGAUCUUAUGUGCAUAAUAAGCAUAACAUGUCACGUUACUGUUAUAACUACCAUGCUUCUUGCUUUUCUUUUUUUUUUUAUUUCUUUUUUAUUUUUAUAUAUAUAUAUAUAUAUAUAUAUAUAUAUAUAUAUAUAUAUAUAUAUAUAUAUAUAUAUAUAUAUAUAUAUAUAUAUAUAUAUAUAUAUAUAUAUAUAUAUAUAUAUANNNNNNNNNNNNNNNNNNNNNNNNNNNNNNNNNNNNNNNNNNNNNNNNNNNNNNNNNNNNNNNNNNNNNNNNNNNNNNNNNNNNNNNNNNNNNNNNNNNNNNNNNNNNNNNNNNNNNNNNNNNNNNNNNNNNNNNNNNNNNNNNNNNNNNNNNNNNNNNNNNNNNNNNNNNNNNNNNNNNNNNNNNNNNNNNNNNNNNNNNNNNNNNNNNNNNNNNNNNNNNNNNNNNNNNNNNNNNNNNNNNNNNNNNNNNNNNNNNNNNNNNNNNNNNNNNNNNNNNNNNNNNNNNNNNNNNNNNNNNNNNNNNNNNNNNNNNNNNNNNNNNNNNNNNNNNNNNNNNNNNNNNNNNNNNNNNNNNNNNNNNNNNNNNNNNNNNNNNNNNNNNNNNNNNNNNNNNNNNNNNNNNNNNNNNNNNNNNNNNNNNNNNNNNNNNNNNNNNNNNNNNNNNNNNNNNNNNNNNNNNNNNNNNNNNNNNNNNNNNNNNNNNNNNNNNNNNNNNNNNNNNNNNNNNNNNNNNNNNNNNNNNNNNNNNNNNNNNNNNNNNNNNNNNNNNNNNNNNNNNNNNNNNNNNNNNNNNNNNNNNNNNNNNNNNNNNNNNNNNNNNNNNNNNNNNNNNNNNNNNNNNNNNNNNNNNNNNNNNNNNNNNNNNNNNNNNNNNNNNNNNNNNNNNNNNNNNNNNNNNNNNNNNNNNNNNNNNNNNNNNNNNNNNNNNNNNNNNNNNNNNNNNNNNNNNNNNNNNNNNNNNNNNNNNNNNNNNNNNNNNNNNNNNNNNNNNNNNNNNNNNNNNNNNNNNNNNNNNNNNNNNNNNNNNNNNNNNNNNNNNNNNNNNNNNNNNNNNNNNNNNNNNNNNNNNNNNNNNNNNNNNNNNNNNNNNNNNNNNNNNNNNNNNNNNNNNNNNNNNNNNNNNNNNNNNNNNNNUUAUAUUAUAUACUAUAUAUAUUUAUAGUAUAUAUAUAUUAAAUUAACCAUAUGGUCUUACAUGUUGCUGCUUUUUUUUAUUACAAUAAUAUUAGUUUUAUUAUUUAUAAUUCUAGACACGUGUCAAUUUUAGGUUGACAAUUAAAUCAACGUUAGUAAAUGAUUUUAUGCAUACUCCCUAUAAAACAAUAUCAUAGUCAUACACAAUCAAGUGGACACCAUGAGUUUUUGCUAUUUGGGCUUAAAUAGCAUUUUUUAUAUCACAUCCAUUUUAAUUGCUCAAACCCACUCCAUGCAUUUGUUAUUUCUUCUUUUUAUUUUUAUUCAUUUUGAUUUGUAAAAUUAAGUGAUUAAUUUUUUAUCUUAGUUGAUUAAUUUUUUUAAUUAAAUUGGAUGAAUUUUCAAUUGAUUUAAUUUUGGCAACUAAUUUUAACUAGUUAAAUUUUGGUUUUUAAAUUGAGGUAAUUCAAUUGCUAUGUGAUUUAUUUCUCCCCAUUUUUGUUUAGUCAUUCAAUUAUUUCUUUUGAUUGAUUAAUUGAUUAAAUAUUUUACAACAUUAGGAAUUAUUCUCAUUUGAUACUCGUUUUUAAUAUGAUUUGACAUCUAUAUAAAUUAAAACUCUUUUUUAAUUCUGUUCAUAUUCAAAACCCUAGAAAAUAGAUUAAUCAAUGCAUGAAAACAUCAGGCUCCAUUCUUCAUAUUUGGUAAUAUAUCUCAUUAUUUUGAUAAUAUCUCUUUCUUUAUUCAUUUAAGACUAAAACUAUUUUUGCAAAUAAACUUGAUCCAACGUCAAGUAUAAACCAUAAAACACUUAACAAAUACAAUGUGAAUUAUACGCCACGAGCCUUAAGAAAUGGAGAAUGAAUAAAAAAGAACAUUCCUACCCUUAUUCUAAAUACCUAUGAAUACAAGACGUAUGACCCAAUUGUUCAAAGUAUUCACCUCCAUUCAUAGACUUUAGUGUAAUUCAAAUAAAGGCAAUUUUCAACAAUCGUCUUCAAACUAAAUCAAUCAGAACCAACAUCAAAGACAUUUCAUAAUCUUUCUCUCUCAACCUCUUGGUUUAGACAACACUUUUAAUUUUUGUCCUUGGUUAAGACACCACUUUUACAAUUUCUCUCUUGAUUUUAACACCACUUUUAUUUUAUGUCAUUGGUUAAGAAACCGCAUUUAUAAUUCUCUGUCCUUGGUUUAGACACCACUUUUAACUCCUGUCCUUAGUUAAGACAUCACUUUUAUUUUAUGUCCUUGGUUAAGACACCACUUUUACAAUUUCUCUCUUGUUUAUGACACCACUUUUAUUCUUUGUCCUUGCUUCAGACACCAUCUUUUCAAUUUUUUAUCCUAGGUUAAGGGAUGCUCAUAUCUUCCCCUUACAUAACCGACUUCCUUACCCCUUUUCUCUUUCAUUUGGGUUUUAUUGAUAGUUCCCCUUUCUCUUAUCAUAUAUAAAAUUUACAAAGACUCUGUUGGGGAGUACCUAAGCAAGUCAAGUCUAAUUUUGUUUGUUUUUUUAUGUUUGGGUGUUCAUAUUUAUUAGUUUACUUGCUUUAUUUUAUUGCGUCUUCAUUUCUUUUAUAUAUUCAUUAUAUUCUGGAUAUCUGCUAUAUUCUCUAUUGAGGAUUGAGUUUCGUGAUGCUACUUGAGAGAAAAGCUCUACACCCGAGCUUAAGCAUACACACAGGAUAGUCAUGGUAGAGUUGUGUUGACAUCCUUGACUUAUGUCCCGAUUAUGGUUAAUACGAGACACCGCACCUAGAGUAGAUCUUUUUGGGAGUAUCAUUGUCUUACAAGUCAUUCGUUUCGAACAAUGGUAUCUCAAAAUGGAUCCAUGACUCUAGGGAUCUUUUUAGGAACUUCCUUCUUUGAAGAUUAGUACCUACCUGUAAGGGGAUUGGGUUUGUUUUUGCAGUGAACCAUAUCCACAGAUUACCCGAUUUUCUCUCCAGCUUUAUACCUGGUUUCCAAUGUACAACAAACCUUUAAACCUAUAUUAUCGAAUACCAUUAUUACAUUAUCAUAUAUAUAUAUAUCAAACUUUUGAACCUAAAUUAUUGCAUCAUCAAACCUUUGAACCAUUUAAACAAAAAUACUACAUAUUUAUUUGCAUUCCAUCCACAUGAAAAAUCUAUAUGCAUCAUUUCCAAGGAAUCCCAAAUUUCCAGUCAUUGUUGAACAUUUAAAAAAGAUAAAACCAUACAUAAGCAAAACAUACCAGUUCAUAAAUACAUAAAUUAUUUUCUCUUUUUCCCACACCGGUUCCUCUUCUGUCUUUACUUACAUACUCUACAAUUGACGAUAAUUCCCGGGUUCCCUAAAAACUGAAAAUAUAUUCAUACAUUCAUGCAUUUGCAUUUCUUGCAUAUAAACCAGCAAAGACUCACCCUUUCCCUUUCUCAUCCAGAAGAUGACGAUUCCCCGACGACGAUAUUUGACUAAAAUCCUGUCGCUAAAGAAUCAUGGAAAAUGUUGAGCAUGAGAACACAAUGUGCAAGGAAAUCUUGGAUCACGCCCAAGGCAAGGUCAACAUGAUCUUAGAACUAUUCAUAAGCAAUAUGAUAACAAACUUCUCAGAUAAAACUGUGAUUAGUGAAAAAACUGAAAAAUGAACUAAAGGCGGGUAAAAUCCAGAAUGCAACUGCAAGCAGUCUUCCAGUUUAUCCCCAAGAGCAAUAUCUUCUAACAAAUCAGAAGCUCACUUAAGGUAACCAGAAACAAGAGCAAAAGCAAAACAACCCAGGGAACAAUGAACAAGAAAGGAGACGUACCCGCUUUGAUCCAAUUCCAAUAUCUUAUACGUUCUACUUCCUAUUCUGAUUUAUGUUGGGGCAAGUCUUCCCAAGGAGAUCAAACCUGUCAGGUUUCCCUACCAUCCUAAGCAUAAUCCUAAUACCACGUGCAAAUUCCAUGCAUGAUACAUGGACACUCUACAGAAGUUUGUUGCAGUUUCAAGACCAAAGUUCAAGAGCUCCUUGAUCAGAAGUUAUUAUGGUUUAUAGAGAAUCCAUGCCAGAUCAUCCUCAAGAAUGAUAAUCCUUAGGCCAUCUUUAGCUUAUUCAUUUACAUUUUAUUUUUGUAAAGUAUUUUUCGCUUUUAACACUGUUACUCAUAAUGGCGACAUUAAUGAAAUGAGCAUGCAUUUUUUAGUCAAUCCAUUCGUAUUCACUCCACACUUAAUUCCCUCUUUUCUUUUUUCAUUAAAAAAUGGAAAACAAUACCAAUACUUCUCCACUUCACUUAAGCAAGGAUCAAAUCAAGAAUGAUGAAGAACAAAUACCCAAAAUUGCUGAUAAUAUGCUUCCGAAUAAAACUUUGUUGACGAUGUAAGGAAUUGUUUCACCUCCUAAACACCAGAGAUAUAAGGAAGAUAAUUCCUCGUCAACCCCCUUGAGCAUAGAAGUUGGUGUUUCUUUCGGUACGAAAAAACUAUUUAAUAUUAACUAGGGGUAGGAUAGUCGUUAGUUAAUUCAGUUGUGCAUUCAAAUUCCAAAAAUGAACUGAAGGUGGCAAGAAACACAAGAAAGGGGGUUUGAAUUAGUUUUCUAAAAAUGAAAGCUUUUUCAACCUAACACAACAAACAGUGAACAACAAACUAAAAUAAAUGAAAAAGUUAUUUUUUACUCUAUAAGCUACCUCUAGUCCACCCGCCAAGGUGAUUACGCCUUAUCAACGAGGACUUAAUCCACUAUAACCAAACUGAUUACAACACACAAAUACUACCAUUCAAUAUCUUCUCGAGUAAUUAUGGCUAUACCCUAGUCACUCAAGGAAUACAAACUCAACCAAUGAGAUUUACAAGAGACAUGUUUACAAGAUCGCUUCUAACAAAGCUGAAUAACACAAGUUUUAAUACAAAGUAUUUGUCACAUAAUAACGAAUAAAAGCUCUAUGUGUGCUUCUUUUCUCUAUACACAAUAAUAAUCAUUUCAGCAAAAGCAUUGUGUAUUAACGUGAAGUAGCAACGUGAAUUAGCAGCCUGUCCAAUCUUCCGAAUCUUCUUUAUAUAGGCAAUGAAAAGAUCUGUUGAAGGGUAGAAUUGAAAUACCAAAAUGCAGUUGUUGCCUUGCAUAACGACUUGCAUGAGGUGAGGUAAAAUGGUACAAUAGUACAAUCUUUAACCCAAAAAAUCAGCGUAAUGGAAGGAAUAUUUGAUCUUAUAUUGUGUAUCAUUUUCCUUACGCAAAACAUUUUGAUCUUAUCUUCUACUCUUUAGAGGCUUCUGAAUAAAUUACGUUGAAGCAUGUUUAGAAGGAUCAAGAGUCUGGUUGAGAGAAUCUUCAAAACCUUGAUCUUCAGAGUCUUGACGCAGUUCCUCAGAACGUGGUCUUCAGAGUCUUCGGAGCUUGUCCUUCAAAGUCUUUAGAACUUGAGAGCGUAUAAUCUUAGGGGCUUGACAAACCUUCAGAGCCUUUUCUAUCAGAGUCACAGUCAGAAGCUUUAGCACAAACUUUCAUCAGAACCGUUGUUUAAGAGUAUCCCAGAACUUGACAUAAUCUUGUAAAAUACUUUUGUAUCUCUUAAGAGUCAAAGUGUGUUGAAUCCAAAAUCUGAUGACGUCAUACACCAAAUCUUCAAAAUCAGAACAUAUUAGCAAAAGCUACACACUAGACAAAACAAUUAGGGUACAAAAUUGUUCUCUAAGAAACAAAUCUUGUUCUUACAAUAAUAUCCCAUCAAGGGAUCAAUCACAUCUUAUGCAUCAUCCGAUGUCGAAGAGGUUAAAAAUCCAAAAUUUCAAAAUGGUUGUCUCCCAAUAACCAAUAUUACGGUAGUCACGAUCUUUCAAAAGCAAAAAAAAAAAGAGAAGAAAGAAAAAUAAAAAGAAAAGCUCGCUAAGUCAAAAACAAAACAAAAAAAAGGAUGAAAUGACUUAGGCAAAAAUUAGGGAUAACAAAAUAAUCAAAAAAAUAUUCAACAGAAAAAAGAAAAGUAAGAGCAAAACAUCGUGACUACUAGUAAAAAGGGUGAUUGCCACUCAAGCAAACGAAAGAAAAACCUCAUUGAUUCUAAAAAUCACCAAAAUUUCUUUCAAAAAUUGAAUGCACUUGCUGAGUUAGCUGAACGUAGGACUGGAGAACAUCAAGUAGGAUGGGGUGGGAUAAAAUCAAAUUUUGAGCAUUAUAUCCUUUAUUUCUCAAACCAUAAACUAGGUCAUGUUACAACCUUCAAAAGACCUAAUUGAAGCAAAGGCAUUCUGAAGGCAUACUAAAGCGAGGUUGUGUAAACCAGACUCCUAGAGAUUUGCUAAAAACAUUUGUAUUGAUAUCAAACUCCCACAUCGUCUUUCACACUUUAAAUAAUGAUUUUGAUCUCAAAACUUGCAUGGGUGUCGCAUUAAAAUUACCAUUUUUUAGUAAACAAUUUCAAUCCGUAAAUCAUCACCUAACAUCAAAGAGGUUGCAAUGAUGAGCUAUAUAAUAUGGUUAUACCAUGGGGCAUUCCUCCAAGAUCAGUUAGGCAUGGACAUUCCCUCAAAGAUCAACUAGCCAAGGGCAAAAUUACUUCAAGGCUCAUACUAUGGCAGACCAUAAGAAGUCAACCGCUCUAGGAGACGGUUAAUCAGGGAUAUAUAAUCUCAAGACACUGGGGAAAGACAAAUCGAGAUCGUCAUAUGACAAGACUACUUCAUAACUUUUGAUUGGGGCAACCCAUGCAAAUAUCCAACAGCCUCGGGCAGAGACAGGCUACGAAGGUGCAAGUUAUCUCCAUGUUUCAAGUUGCUUAGGAAAGUGAAAAAGUGCAUCAAAACCCAUUCAGCUUGAAGCAUGUGUCGGUGAAUCAUGUCAUUAUAACCCUUUUCCUAGCCUAAAAUGUUCCAUCUCCUACCACAUGAGCAUUUGGUGAACCAUGCAUAAAUCUUUAUCAGGACGUUUCAUUCUAACAACAAAGUGUGCAUAUCAUCAUCGCAUAGAUCAUUGUCAUGUAUUAAUCAAGUCGCUUCACUCAUAUAUCAUCAUGUUCAUCAGACAUCAUCAUAAGCAUUAUAACCCAAUCAAUCUUUUCAAAAACCUUAUUAACAUAAACAUCUACCUUGUAACUGCUAUACUUCCGACAGAUUAAUCCUCAAUUAAAACGGUGGUAUUUCUCCGAAAAUAAUAUUAUCCCCUCGGAACUUCUAGUUGAUAUCCUUGGCAGGUUUUCUUUAGUAAACCCUAUUGAAAUGUAUCCAUUCAGGUUACUUUCAUAUUGCUGCGCUGACAAUGAUCCUUUUUGUUGUAUCACCAUCAUAACAUUUUCCUUCAUUUUCACCUUCGUGUUGUUGAUCUUUUUCCAACCUCUGUAUUGAUGAUCUUUUUCCAACCUUCAUGUUGUUGAUGUUUUUUUAACCUUUAUGUUGAUGAUCUUUUUCCAACCUCCAUGUUGAUUAUCUGUUUCCAACCUCCAUGGUUGACAAUCUUUUUUCAACCUCUAUGUUGAUGAUAUUUUUCCAACCUUUAUGUUGUUGAUAUUUUCCCAACCUAUGUGUUAAUGAUCUUUUUCCAGCCUUUGUAUUGAUGAUUUGUUUCUAACAACCAUGUCGUUUCUAACCAACGAGUCGAUGACGAUCUUCCUUUCGUUAGACAUCUCUCUCAUAAAGGAUCAAAUUGAAACCUCCAUCAGUAGUGUCAUCCUGAGACUCUCUUAAUCAACUUAUGGGUUCCUUGGUCUAGCUAUCGAAUGUCGUAGAAUCAAAGUUCACCAUCAUACCAAAAACUAGAACCAAAGUCCACCUCCGUUAAUACCAGUCACUCCUUUCACCUAGCAAUUUGCAUCAUUGUGUAAUAUGCAAGUCAAGCAUAAGCAUUUCAUGCAUAAUGUACAGAAAAUCAUACAAUAUAUAGAAUAUGACCACAAACAUCUCUUUUACGACUGAUUUAUUCCACAACAAAGUAUUUCAGUCAAUCCACAACAAAUAAGUUCUCAAAAGAAAUGCAUCUAGUCUCAUUGCAUUUUAUUUCUUUCAAGGGUAAAAAUUUGGGGCUUUUAUAUUUAACUACUUUUAUUGAUCUUUUGGAAAGAAAGAGAAUAUCUUCAUUCAUGAGUAAUUGGAAUACACUACAAGCAUCACAAGCUUUAUUACAAGGAAAGGUAUCAAUUACAAGAAAAAACUGCAAAAUUUUGGUAUAAUUGAGUUUUAGUCAAUAGUUGACUUUUGGUCAAGUGUUGACCAUUGACUCGAUUUUGACUCUUGAAUUUUCCUAGACCUAUUAUACAAACAUUUGACCAAAGGAUUCAUCAUUAUUCUUCAAAAAUCAAUUAUUCCACUAUUAUGUUACAAAUGCUAAUUUCCAGCAACUCAAGAUUUCAUCUUCCAUAAAGCUUCAUUCCCAUGACUUUUUUUCAUUCUCUAGUGUCCCCUCAAGUUCAUUCUUCCACCACAAUGCUCACUUUGCUACAAGAAAUAAGGUACACCAAGUUAGACAUUCAUAUCAUGGAUUAAAAUCAUCAAAAUUAUAUGGAAAAGUCAUAAAUUUUUUUUGCACAACUUCACAAAAGUUCUGGACUAUUCCUUAAAUUCACUACUUGUUUUUUCAACAUUUUUCAACACUGAUUCAUGCCCAAAAACUCAUAACUUUACACCAUUCAAAAGUGAACUUUUUUCAACGGAUAAUCACUUCUCAAAAGCACUUAAAGUCAUGGGAUAAUUCACCAAAAAAUCAUGGCAAAAGUGACAAAAAAUCAAAGUCAAAAACAUUCAAACAUUCAAAGUUUCAUGCAUAAUCACCAAUGAGCUUAUAUCUUACAUUCCAACUUGGUAAUUUUGCAAAAGUCAAGCAUCGUUUGUGUAUAACUACCUAUACAUUCAUAACCAUUCAAUUACAUAAUUAACACUUAACUUCCAUAACUACCAAACUAACACAAAUUCCAACUUUCAUUUUUAGCCAAAUCUCCAUUCAAUCCUAGCCAUUCAUAAAAAUCAAUUCAAGGAUUGGAAGUAGUGAUCCGCAACUAAAGCUUAAGUUAAUUUUCAACCAUUGAUAAAUCUCUUACUUGGAUCACAAUCCAAUGUCCCUCGUUUAACCAUAAAACUUAUAUAAAUAUAGGGGUGGCAAUUGGAUCCAUUAAGACAAUAUCCAUCCACCAAAAUAUCCAUCUAAUCCAUCCAUUACAUAAAAACUAAGUUAAUUGAUUGAAUUAAAUCUAUCUAUUUAUAAGAAUGGAUUGAUCCAAUCCAUCCAACACAUUUUAAUGAUCUAAUGAAUUUUUUUUAUCUAAUUUUUAAAAAAUGAAUUUUUUCAAAUAUUAAAAAAUAUUUUUUUUGAAAAAUACAAAAUUAAUUUUUUUUUAAAUACAAAAAACUGAUUUUUUCCAAAAAUUUUAAAUUUUUUUUUUAGAAAAUACCAAAAUUCGAUUUUACUUUCGAAAAAGUUAUUUUUUACGAAUAUAAAAAAAAAUAAUUUUUUCGAAAAAAAAAACAAUUUUUUAAUUAUUUUUUCCGAAAAUACAAAAAUAUACUUUUUUCCUGAAAAAAAAAUGAUUUUUUUAGAAAAAAACUGAACUUUUUUCAUUAAAAUACAAAAAAAUAUCUUUUUCUGAAAAAUAUAAUUUUUUCAAAAAAAUAAGUGAUUUUUUUCAAAAGUAAAAAGUUUGAAUUUUUCAAAAAUACAAAAAUUAAUAUAUUUAAAAAAACUAUUUUUUCAAAAAAAAAAUGGAUGGAUGGAUAUCCAUCCGCUAAAAAUAUGAUAAUGGAUGGAUUAGAUGUAUUUUAUUCUUAAUGGAUGGAUUGAAUUAGAUAUUUUUAAGAAACUUUUAGUGGAUUGUUAAUGGACUAAUGGAUUGUUUUGAUUCAUCCAUUAACGAUCCAAUCCAUAUUCAUCCAAUCCAUCCAUUUUGUCACCCUUAUAUAAAUAUGUUAUUUUUCACAAUUGGGGAGACUAGGAAAAAAAAUACUUUUCACCAUUUUUCUCACAAUUCUCUCUUUUCUUCACUCCCUCACCAUCACAAAAGUUCAAUUUUUUACCAUUUAGAACUUCACAUUGAGGUUAUAAAUUUGGCGGAACUUAGCCACUAUCAAGUUUCAACCAUUCAUCAAUCAAAUUUCAUUUUCAUCAUUCAAGAUUCAAUAUCAAGUUUCAACAAUUCAAGCAACAUCAAGUUUCAACAAUUCGAGCAAUCACAAAUUUUCUACAACUCAACCAAGUUUCUAUAAUCAUCAACUCUUCUACAUUCAUCAUCUAUAUUCAACCAUCAUCAUCUAUAUUCAACCAUAAUCAUCAGCCAUUAUCAUCUAUAUUCAACUAUUUAAAGUUUUUUGGAUUUCUCUCUCAAUUCUUCUCUCAAUCAAUCAAACUUGAUAAAUCCUCUCCAAAAAUGUUCAUAAUAAAAAACUUUCUCUAAAUUAGUUUUAAAUAAUCACAAACUUAAUCACUUUCUUUUAGGUUUCAAUCAAAUUAAAAUUAGUGCUCUCUUCCGCUUGCCACAUGCCGUCGUGUCAAGAUCCUUGUGGUAUGUACUUUGACUUAUAAUUUUUUUUAACCCUCACUCUGAUUUAGUUAGUUUUGUUUAAUUUAUGUUCUUUGAAAAUAAAAUUUCAUAUUACUUUGAUUCAAAGAUAUAAAUCUAUUAUUUAAUAUUGAAUAUGCUAUUUGAUACUUGAUUUCUAUGUAUUAUUUGUUGUGAUUAGUUAUUAAGAAAGAAUAACAUAUUUUGAUUUUCAUCAUAAUGUGUUUUACUAAUUUGAAAUUCAUUUGUCAUGGAUUGUAAUAAUUAUAUAAUUUUGAUUUGUUUUUGUAAUGCAGCUUCAUUUCAUUCUCCAUAUAUCCAACGUCGGUAGAAUUCUAACGAAAUCGAAUAAACGAAUUAUCAAUUUGAACCAACACGUGAGGUAUAAAGUUUUAAACAUAUUUAUGCAAAAUAUUCAAAUUUAGACUUUCUUUUUGAAUUGACAUAUAAUAUUUAACAAUUUAUUUUUUUUAUUCGGUAAAAUAUAAUUGAUUUUUAAUCAUUUCAUAUUUGUAGCAAAAAAUUGUAUAGAUAAAAAGUUUACGAAAUUCCUCGUCCCGUCAUGUUGAGCUUUUAAACAUGGUUAUGCAAAAAGCUUACAAAAAUGAUAUAGAAAUAAGUUUCAUAAAUUUGUUUGACAUAUUAUAUAAAAAAUUUAAGUUAUUAAUGAAAAUUAAACAAAAAAAAUUUAACAUGCAAAAUUAUUUAUUAAAUUAAAAUUAUAAAUUCGUACCAAAAAAGUUAUCAUCAUUAAUUUAUUUAAUAUUUAAUUGAUAAUAAAAUCAAUCAAUUUCAUCUUUAUUGAAAAAUUGUUGUUUUCAAAUAAAUUUUAAUCAACCUUAUAUAUUAUACAAUAACUUUAAUUGUUAUAUAAUUAAUGGAAAGAUAAUAUUAUUCUAUCAAUACUAUUUAAAAUAUUUAUUAAUGAGAAGAUAAUAAAUUCUUACUAAUAAGCUACCAUUUAGAUUUUCAAUAUUAUCUAAAUUUUUAACUCUGUCUAUAUCUUCAAUUUGUACUAAUAAAUUAUUAUUUUUAUUUUUAUUUGUAUUUAUACUUGUUAAUUUCUACAUUUUUAACUUAUUUAUUCACUACGCCAAAAACUGGAAUAGACAGCGCACCUUAGAGGGCGCUUUCUUAAAGAAGCGCACUCUAAAGUGAAGAGAAAAAUAAGGAGGAAUAGACAGCGCACUUUAGAGGGCGCUUUUGUUUAUAAUGGAUAUACAUGGAUGUCUUCCAUCGAUUGUCGAGAGAGUACGAGAAUGGGGUAUCAAAUUGUUAAGUUUGCCGUUGCGCACGCCGAAGACCCAGUAGAAUGAAUGUCCUUGCUUGGGUUGUUGUUAUGGGAAACGGUUGACGCAGUUCAGUUGACAUCGCAUCUAAUGAGGCAUGGAUUGAUCGAAGUUAUACAUGUUGGAAUUGAUGCAUGGUGAGAAAGUAACGAGAAUGUUGAACCGGGGAUAGUACGACUAUGCCUCAAACUAUAGUGGCGCAGAUACAUACGAUUGUGAUCGAGUUGAAGAGAUUGCAGAAGCACUUGAAGGAGAUCUUAAGGAUUGUUCCGAAAUGUUGAGAGUUGGUAAGUGAUGCAGAGAAACCUUUGUAUGAUGGUUGCACUAAAUUCACAAGAUUGUCGCGGUAUUAAAGUUGUACACUUAAAGGCGGCAAUGGUGGUCGGAUAAAAGUUAUCCAGCAGUUAUUAGCCCUUUUGAAAGAUAUGCUUCCUGAGGAUAAUUUCUUCCCAAUCGAACAUAUGAGACCAAAAAGAUGUUGUGCUCUAUUGGCAUGAGCUAUGAUAACGAUACAUGGCAUGUCCAACAGAUUGCGUUUGUUUCGAAAUGAGUAUGCAUCGUAAAUGAGUGUCCUAAAUGCGGUGUCUCGCGAUAUAGAACAAUUGUCUCCAACAAAGGUCUUUGUGGUAUUUUCCUGUUAUUCGAGAUUAGACGCAUGUUCGUAGUGAAACCGAUUCAGACACUUGACCUGCAUGCAGAUGAAAGAAUUAUAAUGGAAAGUAUCGACAUCCGGCAGAUUCACCACAGUGGUUGAAAAUUGAUAAUGAUUACUCCUGAAUUUGGAAAGAAUCAAGAAACCUUCGCUUGGCAUUACUACUGAUGUGAAUGAACCCACACGGUAUCCAGAGUAUCUCACACAGUACAUGGCCUGUGAUAUUAUGAUUUAUAACCUACCUCCAUGGCUAUGUAUGAAGCGUAAGUACAUGAUGUUGUCUUGUGAUUUCUGGACCUAAACCCAGGGAAUGACAUAGACGUGUACUUGAAGCCUUAAUCGAAGAUAUUAAAGAUUUUGUGGGAGCCGCGUGUGGAGGUUUAUGAUGGAUAUAGGAAAGAAAGUUCAACUUGAGGCGAUGUUGUUUGGCACAAUUAAUGAUUUCCAGCAUACGGAAAUCUAUCAGGGUAUAGCAUAAAGGUCAAUGUGCGUGUCCUGUUUGUGAAGAUAAACAGAUUGGAAGCGCUUGAGUUUGGUCAGAAAUGUCUUUCUCGGGUCAUCGGAGAUCUUAAAUUCAAAUCAUACUACCGUGGAUGAGAAAGCGUUCAAUGGAGAGCAGAACAGCAGAGCUCCACCUAUAUUGACGGGUGAUCAAAAUUUUUGAAAAGGAUGAAAUUUGGAUACUCAGUUUGGCAAAGCCUUUGCCCACACACUUGUCAAACAGUGGGUGAAGAAGAGGUCAGUUUUUUUUGAAUGCCGUAUUGGAUCCUUGUAUGUGAGACAUUCUUCUGAUGUUAUGGUAUGAAAAAUGUAUUUGAAAGUGUUUUGGACGUUACUCAAUAAAGAGUCUGGAUGCCUUAGGCAAAAAGGACUUGAUAGCGAUGGGAAUAGAAUGAAUAGGACCCUUGAAGAAAGGAAACGAACAUAUCUACCGCCGCUGCUAUCUCUAUCUAGAAAGAAAACCAUUGUGUAAGUUUAAGUGAAGUUAAGUUCCAGAAGUACUCUCAGAUAUUAGAAACUUGUGUCUAGUGAAGACCUCAAGUAAGAGAGUAAAGACCCAUGAUUGUCAUGUUAUAAUGGAACAUUUUUCUCCCAAUACGUAUACGUUCUAUUCUUCAAAAAGAAGAAGCUCUAUAACUAAGUUGUGUUCUUUCUUCAAGUCAAUUUGCCAGUAAGUGAUCAAUCUGCGAUCUUACCGAAUGUGCAAAAAGAAAUCGUAUUACUUUGUGUGAGCUUGAAAUGUUUUCCUCCAUCAUUUUUGACAUAAUGGUACAUCUAGUUGUUCAUCUGUGAAAGAGACACAAUUGUGUGGACCACUUAUAUGAGAUGGAUGACCCUGGUUGAACGUUAUAUGAAAAUAUUAAAGGGUACGUGAAGAACGAAGUCGACCAGAGGUUGUAGGUUAAAGAUACAUUGUUUGAGAAGCGAUUGAGUUUGUACUGAAUAUUUGUCUAAUGUUCAGUCAAUCGGACUCCCCAAGUCUCAGCUUGUCGAAAGAAAGAAGGAAAAAUCUAAUUGGAAAUAAAAUCGUGGCAGUACAGGCGAACGGAUCAAGUGCAUUUGUAGUUCGCACAAUGAGAUGAGUUGAGUAUGUUGAAAUUCACAAGGAUGUUCUCCGGAGGUUUAAAUCCAAUAGAAAUAAUUGGAUAGUACGAGAGCACAAUCGAUGUUUUAUACUUGUUUAAGGAUCAUAUUUAUUCAAAGUAUUAUUCAGAUCCGCUUCAAUACAGCAAGGUUGAGAUGCUAAGCAUAUGGCCAAGUUUCCAUGUUUUCUUAUAGCGCAUACGCGAUUAAUGGAUACACAUUUUAUACAAAGAACAGAUGAUAAAAGUACUAUCGCAGAAUAAUGGUGUCACCGGUAGCUGAAGCAAUGCACAUAUCAAGUGGAGGACUUAAACCCAAAAAUUUGCAAUCUGUCGUAUUUUGGUGUUAUCGGCGCAUUGGGUGUUUGAUUAUGAGAAGUUUCAGAUUCCUAUAUUUGGUUGCAAGUGGGUUGAAAAUAAUACGACAUUAGAAUGGAUAAGUAAGGAUUUUUGCAAGUGGAUCUUAAUAGGAUGGGAUACAAAGAUGAGUCUUUUAUUCUAGCCUCUCAAGCUAGACAAGUGUUCUGUGUCAAUGAUCCGAAAAGUACGAAAUGGUCUAUAGUUCUUUUUCAACAAAGUAAUUGAUGAAAACACUGGAGAUCAAGUGAUAUUGAUGUUGAGAUUGAAUCGUUAACCAGAAAUGACAAGAUGAGAUAUUAUAUCAAAUGAUUCAUUAAUUAGAAAGAUCAUAAUGAGGGUAUUUGGAUCAAUCCAACCGUCCGUGUUGUUAAGAGACAUGUAGAACAUAUUCCAACCAGAAAAAAGAGAACUUAGUGAAAAGGUACAGGUCAAAUGAUUUAAUUGUUUUCUUUAUUACAGGUAAAAUGACUUUAUGAUUUUAAUUGUUUUUACAUUGUCAUGAUUUUAAUUGUUUCUUUUUACAGUAAAAGAUGAUGCUGGAUAUUUUUAGAUGGAGAUGCUCUAUUGUCGUCAAGCCUCAUUCGCGUAGAUGAUGAUGCUGGAUAUUUGAAAGUAUCCUCUACGACAAAUGGAACAUGUCCAUCUAAACAUAUAUCAUUCUACUUCAAAAGAUAGGUUCAAUGUUGGCAGUUACAUUGGUUUCCUGUUCGAACACAUAUCGCGAUUACAUGUGAUAAUUGGAGAAGUCUGGACUUGAAGUUGGCAAGAAAAUAUGGUCGGAGAUACAGGUACUUUACCAUAUAUUUUAUAUGUUUUUUGUUGCAUCACUUUGCAGCCCUGUAUUGUAGGCAGAAUUUAGGACUUCUCAAGUUGAUUUUCUUGUUAACUUUGUCGUUCAUAAAAUACACCACUAAAUUCUCUGCGUUUAAUUUUUAAUUUUUUUCAUCAGGCUGUGUCUCAAUAGAGGAUGGGUAUCUACCUAAAGUUACUUUUGUAGUGGUCCAAAAGAGACAUCACACCCGUCUCUUUCUGUCAACCCAAAGAGACCGAGAAGUGGAAAUAUUAUGCCAGGUUUUUUCAAUAUAUUUCUCAACGGCAGCUGGAUAUAUUAUCAUUUGAAUUUAUCACUUUUGCUGAUUUGUUGUUCUAAAUUGUCAAAGGACCGUGGUAGACACCAGCAUUUGUCACCCUAGGGAAUUUGAUUUUACCUAACAGCCAUGCAGGAUUCAGGUAAUAUUAGCUAUGUCAUUUAACUUUAUGCCAUUGUUUACUAUUUGUUGCUCAUCGCCUUUUGACAGUUCUAUGUUAUUGCAUUUGGACGUGUUCUUUUUGCAGGACUACUUAUGCUGCCAUCUGUUGUUUGGUUGAGCCUUAUUUUGUAUGGAUUGCGAUAGAACUACUAGACGCUUUUGGAUAUACAGAACAUGUUUGCCACCAUGGUGGAUGGGCGUUUUUGUUUAGUAUUGGUAGAACUACUAGACAAUUUUGGAUACAGUGGUCACUGGGUGUUGGUUGCUAUGUUUUAUUCUUAAUUUGUAGUACUUUGAGAAUAUGUUGUUGUAUAUUGUUGAUCAAGAAUCAUAUAUUAAUGUUGUAUAUAUGGAGGAUAAUGUUGUAUAUAAUGGAUUCAUGUUGUAUAUAUCAUGGAUUAAUGGUGUAUACAUUGGAUUAAAGGAUGAAAUCAAUAUGAAUAUUACACUUUUGCAGCAUGCGAACAGGUUACCAAUUAAAUAUAUAUCCACUGUUUUCAAACAAUUUUUUUAAAAUAACUAACACUUUAGAGGGCGCUUUGUCCAGAAAGCGCCCCUAAACACUUUACAUUGACAACUUUAGAGGCGCUUUUUCCUGAAAGUGCGCCUCUAAACACUUUACAUUGACAACUUUAGAGGGCGCUUUUUCCUGAAAGCGCCCUCUAAACACUUUACAAAGACAACUUUAGAGGGCGCUUUUUCCNUGUAACAAAGCGCCCUCUAAAGUGAAGCAAAAAAAUAAUGAGAGAAAUGGAGGGACACCAAUAGAGGCGCGUUUAUGAAAGCGCCCUCUAAGGAUACCCUUAGAGGGCGCUUCUAAGAAAGCGCUCUCUAAGUCCAUGACAACAACGCACUUUAAGGGCGCUUUAUACAAAAGCCGCUCUCUAAAGUGAAGCGAAAAAAAUAAGGAGAAAUGGAGGACAACCAAUAGAGGGCGGUUUAUGAAAGCGCCCUCUAAAGGAUACCCUUAAGAGGCGCUUCUAAGAAAGCGGCUCUCUAAGUCCAUGUACGACAGCGCACUUAAGAGGGCGCUUUAUUACAAAAGCGCUCUCUAAAGUGAAGCGAAAAAAUAAGGAGCAAUAGACAGCGCACUUUAAGAGGGCCUUUUAUAAAGCGCUGUUAUAAGUCCAUGGUGCAUUCCAUCUUAUAAAGCCGCUUCUGGAAAAGCCUUUAAGAGCGCUUCCAUAAGGCGCCUCUUAGGCCCCCUUUAGAGGGCGCUUUUUUUCCACAAGCGCCCUCUAAGGUCCCCGUUUAGUAAACAUUAAAAUAUAACAUACUGCCGUUUGUUAUUUCACUCUCUGUUAUUUUCGUUCUUUUCACGUUAGGGUCUUAAGGCCGUUCUCCUUCCACCUCUGUUAGAUCUACGACUUUCCUCCUUCUACCAAUCAAAGUACGUUUGUUUCGUUUUAGCUUGCCUAUUUCUUGCACUAUUGCUUUGUUUUUAGCUUUGCGCCAUUUCAGUUUAGUUAUUGUUGUCUAUGCGUUUGUUUUCAACCUGUAAAGUUCAAUAUUCAUAAGUCAUUUAAAUUUGAUAGCGUAUGCGUUAAAUUCAAGCCCUACGUUUGUUUGGGUUAUUAGGCAAUUGACGUUGUUGUUUUAAGGUAUGGAUGUUAUUUGAUAGCGCAAUGCGUUAAUUUUCAAGCCCUAAUGUUAAAUUUCAAUGCGUUAAAUUUCAAGCCUAGGUUCCGAAUGUGUUUGAAUUCUUCAUUAACAGCCAAGCCAGUACAUAGCGUAAGCUAGUAACAUUAAGCUUUACAUUGACAACUUUAGAGGGCGCUUUUUCCAGAAAGCGCCCUCUAAACACUUUACACUGACAACUUUAGAGGGCGCUUUUUCCAGAAAGCGCCCUCUAAGGUGUCCCUUUAGACAGCGCUUUCCUCCAGGAGAACAAAGCGUUGUCUUUACCUAUGCCAGCGCCAGAUUAGAGGGCGCUUAAAAGCGCUGUUAUAGGCCAAAAUAAGCGCCCUCUUUUCCCUUAUUUGGCGUAGUGUAUUGGGUAGAAAAAUUAUUUAUAUUUUUGAAUAUAUUUUUUAUAAAUUUAUCUAAAAUUCUCUUUUUAUGAUUUAAUUAAAACUUCAACUCUUUUAUUAUACAUAAUACAAAAUAAGAUGUAUAAUCAUCCUUAAAAUAUUUUUUAGAACCACGUUUGAAUGUUUAAGUGCAUAUUACUAAUUAGAUUGUCAAAUUGUUUGCAUGUUUGUAAAAUCAUAGCAAUUGCUGCAAUUAUUUGUAAUUUGUCCAAAUGGUAAUAUUGUUUAUUGGUUUUGUUCGCUUGAAAAUCAAUCCGAUAAUAAAAUUCUCUUUUUAUGAGUUUAAAAGGACACACUUUUAAGAUAAAAUAUCUCUUUCAAAAUUUAUGUUGAGAUUUCUCUAUUGUUCAGCUUUAUAUGUUUAUUAAAUAUAAUUAAAUUUUUGUUAAAUAUUAUUAUUUUUAUUAGGUCUAUGAGAGGUUAUAACAUCCUGAGAGGCUAUAUUAUGAAUAAAAAAUCUAAUUUUAUAUCUAUCAAGGUAAGUUAAUUGUCAUAAAUUUAUUGAUAUUUCAUAUGAUAUAGUUGGGCUUGUGGUUAUUUUGUAGGCAUGUCAACAAGACUAUAGUUGGGCUUGUGGUUAUUAUGUAAUGAAAAAUAUGUUUGACAUUAUUCAAACGAGUAUAUUUCAAGGAUUACAUGAGGUAAUAACAAAAGAUUCAAAUGCCUAAUAUGUAAAUCACGUCACUUCAUGUUUUAACACUUAUUUAAUUUAUUGUUUGCAUUUGUAGAAAUAUGAUGAUCCAUCAUCAUAUGACAAGGAUGUUAUUGAUAAUAUCUCAUAACUUUGGACUAAAUUCUUUUUGCAAAUAGUUGAAGAACAACAUCAACUUGAAGAGAAAGAAAUAGGAAAUUCGAUAAAAGAUGAUAUUUUUGUUUCUGAAUUUGGAUUUACACUCAUUGAUAUAAUUUGUUAAAUUUAAACCAAAAUUUGUGAGUUUAAUUUUGAUCAGUUGAAACAAUAAUUUUUUUUUACAGAUGUCAUAUGUUACCUCAAAUUGAUUUAUGAUUAAACAGUUAGGUUAUGUAUUUUUUUCUCAUCCAUUUUAGAGAAUAAUAUUUGUUGAUGGUUCAUUUAAAAUCAAAUCACACUCGAUGUCCUUUAUAACACUAACUUUAGUAAAGAACGGGUGUGAUACAUACGAUAUACAAAUAUUAUAAGAAAAGUUUAUAGACCUAAUUUAAGAAAAAAAACAGGCCUGAAUGGUUGAUUUUUGAUCAAAUAACUCCGUUAAAUUUUUAACACCCAAUUUAGACGAAAAUUGAUAUGGUAUAUAUGCUCUACAUCUUUUUUAUGUAAAAAAUAGGUGUCAUAAGUUGGUUUCUAAUCAAACUACUCUCCAUUAAACUUUAACACCGGUUUUUCGAAUAGGUAUAAUUUAUAAGUGUUUACACCUCUUUGAAGAAGAAAAAAGGUGUCGAAUUUUAAUUUUUAACACCAAUAUGUAACAUUUAUAACAUGUUACUUUUUUCUUUCUUUUACAUGCAUUGUUUUACAUGCUACUUUUUUUUCUAUGCAUUAUUAUUAUUAUUAUUAUUAUUAUUAUUAUUAUUAUUAUUAUUAUUAUUAUUAAUGAUUAUUAUUAUGUCAUGAUCUCAUGUAUAUAACUAACCACAUGGUCUCAUAUGAUGCUGCUUCUUUUUUUAAUUAUAAUAAUAUUAGUUUUUAUCAUUUAUAAUUCUAGCCACAUGUCAAUUUUUGAUUGGGAAUUAAAUUAACGUUAGAAAAUGAUUAUAUACAUAUUCCCUAUAAGAAAAUAUCAUAAUCAUACGCAAUCAAGUAAUCAUCGUGAAUUUUUACUAUUUGGACUUAAAUAGCACUUUUUUCUAUCACUCAUUUUAAUUGCUCAUACCCACUACAUGCAUUUGUUUUGAUCCAUUUUAUCUUUUUAUUUUUAUUCAUUUUAGUUGAUUAAUUUUACUAAUUAAUUUGGAUAAAUUUUCAAUGGAAUUAAUUUUGGCAACUAGUUUUAACUAGUUUAAUUUGGGUUUUUAAAUUGAGAUAAUUCAUUGCUAUGUGAUUUAUUUCUCCUCAUUUUUGUUUAGUCAUUUAAUUAUUUAUUUUGAUUGAUUAAUUGAUUAAAUACUUGACAACAUUAUAAAUUAUUCUCAUUUGAUACCAUAAUUUUAUCAUGUCAUUUUCUCAUCCAUAUAAGACUAAAACUCUUUUUUAAUUCCAUUCACAGUCAAAAUUCUAGAAAUUAGAUUAAUAAGUGCAUGACAACAUUAGCCUUAACUCUCCAUCUUUGAUAACAUAUUCCAUUAUUUUUAUCAUAUCUCUUUCAUUAUUCAUUUAAGACUAGAACCAUUUUUGCAAAUAAACUUGAUCCGACGUCAAGUAUAACCCAUAAAACACUUAACAAAUACGAUGUGAAUUAUAUGUCAUGAGUCUUAAGAAAUAGAGAAGGAAUAAGAGGGAGCCAUAUGACUUAGUUGUUCAAAGUAUUCUCCAUUCAUAGACUUUAGUGCAAUUCAAAUCAAGAUAAUUUUCAACAUUCGUCUUCAGACUAAAAUCAAUCACAAUCAACAUCAAAGACAUUUCAUAAGACACCGCUUUCAUUGUCUGUCAUUGGUUAAGACACCUUUUACAAUUUCUCUCUUGAUUAUGACACCACUUUUAUUUUCUGUCAUCAGUUAAGACAUCACAUUUACAAUUAUUUAUCCUUGGUUCAAACACCACUUUUAUUUUCCGUCCUUGGUUAAGACAUCACUUUUACAAUUUCUCUUUUUGGUUAUGACACCACUUUUAUUCUUUGUCCUUAGUUCAGACACCAUCUUUUUAAUUUUUUUCCAUUGGUUAAGACACCAAAUUUUCAAUUCUUGUCUUUGGUUCAGACACCACAUCAAUUUCUUUUCAUAAAAGAACUGUUAUAAUUCAUUCUGCAACAGUCAAACUAACAGAUUAGAGCAUCUGAACCAGAAUCAAGCAACUAACGUCAAAACACUUAUAUAAGAUACGAUUAUAACAUUAUUCUCUAAAAACAAAAAUACUCAUUUUUUACCUACGAACUACGGAGCUAUGAUUUUUUUAACUGCACUAUGGAAAUACGUAAAUACAUAAUUUCGAAAUUUUGGUGAGCACAUUAAUCAAAAACUUAUUUUUCCUUAACUAAAACCAAUCGCAAAUAACAUUUAGAUAAUAACAUUCAUACGCGCAAAGAACAAACAAAUUGGUUCUCGUUGAGUUCAACGAAUAUAAGGGGGCUCAUACAUUCCCCUUGCAUAAUUUAUUUCCUUAUCUUUUUCUUUUCUUUUUGAAUUUUAUUGAUAUUUUUUAUUUCUCUUAAAAUAAAUAAAUACAGUUGCGACUCUGUUGUAUUUCGAAUGUACAAUAUAUUUGAAUAUUUUUUUGCGACGCAACAAUUAAUUGUAAAAUUUUUUAAAAAAAUAGAGUGAUGAGAUUAUUCGUUAAACGGUAUACUCAAUAUAUAAAGAAAAAUGGCUUUAAACAUUAACAUUAAAUUAAUAAUGUUUCAAAUAUAUAUAAUAUAUAUUAUAUAUAUAUAUAUAUAUAUAUAUAUAUAUAUAUAUAUAUAUAUAUAUAUAUAUAUAUAUAUAUAUAUAUAUUAUAUAUAUAUAUAUAAUAUAUAUAUAUAUAUUAUAUAUAUAUAUAUAAUUCACCAAAAAGUGGGAAGAUAAAAAACGAGUAGCAAGCUUUGAAUGUGAUCAAAAGGAGGAAGUAGUUCACGGUGAUUUUACCAAACUAAUCGAAUUCCAAACCAACAUGAAAUUGUGCCCGUUAAUUAAUUAUGAUAUGAUAUGCUCAGUAAAUUAGAUUUAAAUCCUCUCCUAUAUUUUUUUCUCUCUCUUUAACUCUUAUUAGUGUCUUAAUUUCACUAUCCAUCUCCAUUGUAAAAUGAUUUCAGAACAAGAAGAAGAUGGAUUAAAAAUGUAUUUUUUUUAAAAAGGUAUGUAAACCAAUCAAUUAAUUUGAAAAUAAAAAACUAAGAGUCCAUUUGUUUCAAUUUUUUAAAAUUCUUUUUAUAAUAUUAUAUAUUUUUUUUUUAAAUUCUUUUUAUAAAGAAUAAAAAAAUUCAUUUUGAAUAAUGAUCUUUAAAAUAUUAUUUUAAAUAUUUUAUUAUUUUAUUGUAACUUAUUUUUAAAUUAAAAUUUCAAAAAAUCACUUAAAUUUAAAAUUGCUUUUUAUAAAAAUUGUUUUUGAAAUAUAUAUUUUUAAAAUAAAUAAUAAUUUUGACUAUCUUUUAGUUUUGAAUAGUGUAUAUUUAUGUUAUACAAUAUUAAAAUUAAUUUUUAAUUGAUAAAAAAUGAAUAUAAAAUAGCUUUUAAUAUUUAAAAAAUUGUUUUUAUAAAAAAUUAUUUUUAAGAAUACAAAAAAAUAACAAUUUAAAAUAAAUGGGCCCAAAAUAAUUGAAAGUCAAAGGAAAUUCGCAAGAGCUGUUAAAGAAAUUUCUCUCAUAUAAUUAAUUAGCCAAUAAUUGUUUUGAACAUUUUUAUAUUGUUCUAUUAAUUUUAUAAAUUAUCUGUAUAUAAAAAAACAUUGUCAAAAGAAGACAACAAAACACAGAAACAACGUUAGUCUAGAUUCAAUUAUUUAGCCUUAUUUAUACAUAUGGUGCGAGAAUAUGUUAAUAAUCAUUUAUACAUAUAUAUUUUUAAAGAAAUAUUAAAAUGCCGUUCACAUCACAUGGUAAGCUUUCCAAACUAAGUAUAUAUUAAUUUUAGCCAAGGUUUACUAUUCAUAAAUAUGAUGUUAACAAAUGUGAUGUUGUGUGUUGACCAUAAAUAUAUAUUUGUCAAGUUGGGUACAUAGUCUUUUAAUAAUGAAAUAUUGUUAGAUUUUGAAUUUUGAAAAUCAAUCACAUACAAAAUUAUCGGAUCGAGUCGCGAACUAAAUCACUCUCUUUAAAACGUUUCGCGAUACUAUUUAAAAUUAUACAAAGCAAUCAAACUACCGCAUCUUCUCUAAAACAAAAUAACUCAAUUCUAUAUUUUACGAUUACUACUUGCACGGUACAUAAUCAGUCUAAAAAUACAUCAUUUAAUGGUACAAAGAUCAUUCGAAUAUGACGUAAAUAUCACUCAUAAUAUCUAGCAUAAUAACCAGGCGUAAUAAUUUCUCAAACCAAGAGAAACUCCAAUAAUUCUCCAAAGAGAAUUCAAUAAUGAUCAUUUGACAAUUCAAAAUGAUUUUUCAACCAAAGAGAAUUUUGAAUAAUUAUUUAAAGAGAAUCCAAAAGUUAUACUUGAUCAUUUCUCAACUCAAACGAGAAGAAAUUAACAUAAUUCUCUAAAGAGAAAUCAAGAAACUAUUCGGAAAAUCCAACGAGUAGAAAAAAAGGGAGAGAAAUUGCCAUUUCGACAAUUCAUAAAACGCAGAGUUAUGAGAGUGAGGAAGGAAAAACUCAAUAAAAGGAAUUUUUUGUGUGUUUUGUAAUGAAACAAGGAAUUUUCUUAUAUAAUGAAGUGAGUUAUUUAAGAUAUCUCGCCUAAGCAAUGUAAGACGAUUUACUAUGAAAUUUGAUAAAUAAAAACAAGUUUAAUUUCACUUAAGAGAUUAAACUCGAAAAGAUCCCACGAUAUAUUGUGUGAAAAUCCAAGGUUUGAAACAUAUUUUGAUACUAAAGUCGAAAUAUAAAAGAAACAAAAGAUAAUUGAAAUAAAAUUCAAUGCAGUAAAUAAUUGAAAAUAAAGACUUUGAUUUAUAAAAAAUCAAACAUAUAUACAUAUAUUUUUUACUCUUUUCUCACAAACAUACAGAUACUUUGAGUUUUACAGAAUUUGUGUACAAUUGCGGACCUUUAAAACAUAAGUAAAUAUUUACUUAUAUACUAGUCCUAAGUUAACUGUCUACAAUGGUCGACUAAGCAAAGUAUAUCACGCAUUCGUCUCCAUGCAGACUUCAACUUCGACAGGCUUCCACGUGUCUCUAGAUAACUGUAUGAUCUUAUCCACUUACACCUCAUUCGACUGCGUGGAGAAAACAAAAGUUUGGAACACUCUGAUUUCACUAAGUCUCAAAACCAACCAAACCUUUGUCUCUGCCUGAUUUAGAAAUUCGGCCAAAGUUGACAUCAUAUUUCGACCAGACGAAUUUGUCGAAAUAUCUAUGGGAUUAUCUAAUCAUUUCGAUUCUGGCAAUAAACUUAUCAUCAAACCAGAAAACUUAUUACAUCUUUAUAAUUAAUGUUUGUGUCAAAAAUAUGAGGUAACAAAUUAUCCCCCAAAAUGCCAUGUUUCGACUUUCCUUUUAAUCAAAAAGAGAAAAAUGGCCUUUUUUAUUUUAUUUUCGACACUGCUCAACCUUUCUUGCUGACGUCAGUGCCAUCAUUACAUCUUUAAUGCACAUUGUAAUUUUCAAAGGAUUUCCUCAUAAUCCCAUCAUUACUCUUAUUUCCUAGGAGAUCAUGGCUUUGCGCGAUUUCACCAACUUCUCCACUUUUUUCAAUUUCCCACUUCCUGAGAAAUGAAGUGUUUCACUCUAAACACGCGUCUGCCAAGUGUCCGUCACUAACAAGAAAAAUGACUCUAUUUGUAUUCUCUUCUCAUCUUCUUCGAUCUCGCUUUAGCAUUUUACAUACAAAAAGAAAAAAAAACUUCCGCAUCAAGCUUUUCAAACUCAACAAUGGCAGCUACCACUUCAUCUUCCAAACUAGAUAUCGGCAAAAACCCUUUGGCCUUCACGGUUCCGGCAUCAAAAGGUAACGAUGGAAGAUAUUUCAUAUCUGAACCGCUAAUAGCUAAAGAACAAAUCACCAUCAUCCAGAAACAGGUAUUCAUCCCUUUCACCCUCUCUGAUAAACUUUUAUCGUUCUUAGGACCAUUUCCAACGGCUAAGUCACAACCUGGAAAGGUAAAGUACUUUUUCCCGUGUCAUUUUGUUGCGAUGCCUUCUGCGUUCGAAGAACUCUCCCUCGACUUAUCUUUCAUGGAAACACCCACGUGUUUCUUCCGAUCUGCUCCCCCUGCUCAACAUAAAUAGUAUAUUGCUUGGCUUGAUAUAGUCCAAAGCAAAAAACAAAAACAAUGGGAAGAUCUAUGUAUUUUCGAUGUCAUCCAAUUAUCUAGAACUGUCUAUAGGUCUAACCCAACCAUGUUGCUCGUGUCGAUCUUCUUUUGGGAGGGUUUGACCAAUACAUUCCAAUAUCCCUGUGGAAUGCUUACACCGACAUUAUUCGAUGUAGCAGCCAUCACGAGACUUAACCCUAUAGGUGAAACUUUCACUCCCACACUAGAAACUAUUAAUGAGAUCGUUUUCGAAUGUCCCAGCUAUAAAAACUACAUCGCCAACCAUCACCAGAAAAAGACUGAAGAGGUCUCCGACCAAGAACAAAUAGCUUUUCUGAGUCUUUGACUAUCUUGUUUUUUUGUUCCAGCUCCUUGCAAAUGGCAAAAAAAUAAUGUUCUUUUAGUAAUCCAACUCCACGAAGGUUGAAAAGUCUCGCUUAGUAAGCUACUCUUAGCCAGCUUGUAUCAAUCUAUAGGUAGCGCUUCCUAUAAACUCAAACAUCUCUUUAAAACCACUAAAAAAUACAUUAUUUCUAGUCCCUUAUGGCUUUUACAACUUUGGUUGAAUGCCACCUUCGAGCCAAAGUUACACAUAACCAGUUCAAAAGCUUUGAUGGAAGAAAAUGACAGUAGGAGCAUCGAAGACAUUAGACCUUCCCUAACCAUUCCAUGUGAUAAUCCCUUAGAAAUAACUUUCAUGAAGUACAUUAACAUGUUUCUCGAAUCAACAACCUUUGUUUCAACCAUGGCCUCCUCCGUGGAUAUAUGUAUUGGCUCAUUCAGGAAUAUAGAGACGACUUGCAUUCGUUCGACAACAAGUCCUAGAAUUGCUUACAUUACAAUACCAAACCUCCUUUUUCUCCAUAGUGGAGUUCGAUGAUUGGUGGUCGAAAUACUUUAAAAACAACUUCUUCGAAGAAAACUUUUGAAAGAGACUGUCGAUCGUCUUUUCCAACUUGCAAGAAUAUCCUGAUAAGAAAGUUGGUACAUGUUAAUCCAUUAUUAUUUUAUUAUUCCUUCCUUCUUCGUUCCUUUGAAUUCAUGUAUAUUUUUGUUGCAGGUGAAACGAAAAUGAAAAACGAGGCCAAUAUCGAAGGUCUCUCCAACGUAACCGAGGCUAACAAAGAAGAAGAAAAAACCUCAAAAGAAAAAUGUAAAUCUUCUCUUCAUCUGUAAAUUGGCUUAUAUCGAAAUGACUUUAAUAUUUCAUUUUUCUUCAGAAUCGAAAAUGUGAUCAAGACUCCCCAACAACCCCCAAACUUAAGAAGAAAAAUAAACUCAAGAAAAUUACCUCAACACAAGUAUGCAUCCGAUUCCCUUAUUUUAUGGCUUCUAUAUUUCAGUGACACUAACCAAUCAACUUCUCAGGCUGCACCAAAUCCAACAGAAACCCUGGCCGAGGUUGAGACUUCAAAAGAUAGCGAAAAAACUUUGAUCUUCUCGAGACCUAAACCCAAGGCUUCUCCCAAACCAGGCGUCAACAGGGUAAAAGGCGCCAAUCAAAAAACAAACCCUCUAAAGGAAAUAACGACAUCGACUGUUGGUCCUUCUAAUAAAGGAUAAAAUAUGUGUACUCCUGGUGCCAAAGUACAAGACGAACAACCCAAAGAUGGUUCAAACGAAGAAAAAUAAAUUAAUGAACCCAAGGUAUUGCUCUACAUAAUUUCAGGAAAAUUUGAUUUCUCGAGUCUACCCAACUUCUAAAAAUCAUUCCUUUAUCUUUCAGGAACCGCCAUAGGUGGACGAGAAUGUGAUGGACGAAUUGACAGGUAUUCCCCAUUCUAUUCCCACUAGAAAUUUUUCUCACAUCCAUUGGUCAGAUUUUACUGAUUCCAAUCUUUCGUUUGUUCAUCCAGAGAGUAAAUCAAUUGGUGAAGAUGCAUAUGCUUCUAUAAAGUUGAAUCUUGCUGCAUAAGAUGGACCCACCAUCUCCCCAGAGAACUGAAUAAUUUUAUGAUUUCAUGGCUUCUGUCCAUGACAACUUGUCUCCGGACAAUCCAAAAACUAAGAAUUCUGAGAAAACAGACGAAGAGCAAGCUUCUCCAAGUGUCGAGAAUGCUUCAACAGAAGAAGAAGGUCGGCCCAUCAUUGUCAAAAAGAAUCAGGCUCAAAUUACUACUCAUGAAUUGUCAUCCAACUCUUCAUUGAGCCAAGAAGAAAUUUUGGCUAUUAAAAAGAAGAAUCCGACAUAGGCCUUGAGGAGACUACAAAAACGGUGUAAGUUCUAAACCGAAACUAGAUCUUCCAAUUCUUUUGAUGCUUCGUUGGGUGAUGCAACUGAAGGAUUAGUGAACCUUUUGUUCUUACGCCCUCGAAGGACACACUCAACUUAGCGUCGAUAUUCAAAAAAUAUUGGUUGAACUUAACAAACAAUGGGUCUCAGAUUCCAUGGUCUAGUUUUUGUUUUAGUUUGAAGCUUGCUUCGAUCAAGUCAACCGAGAUAUCAACCUCAAAAAGACCUAUAAUGUCUGUCUUCAGUAAAAAAAAUGAAGUUAUGGCUAUAGCGUGGGACUUAAAUGGUGCUUCUGAAAAAGAGGUCGAUAGGCUUGAAAAUCAGCUUCAAGAAUACUUGGAUAACAAGGCUUCACUUGAUGAACAAAUUUCAAAUUGCCGCACCCGAAUUGCGGAGCUAAUCAAAGAAAUUGACAAUUUAGAGAAGCAGAAAGUUGAGCUGGAAUGGGAAAAAUCGCUGCACACCAGAGAAAUCAUUAAUAAAGAGGCGACCAAAAGUGUCGAACACGGCGAAGCUGCUCUCCGACUGGUAACUGAAGUUGAUUCCUUAGAAGAGGCUAGUGAUUGUCUGAACACAAGGCUUGCAUUUUCCAAGGCAAACCCGAAGACUUCAAAUCUAAAUUUCCUCUUUAAACGUGUACUUUAAUUCUCUUAUUUCCAAUGUUUUGUAAUGACUUUUCCAUUUUGGAAUUUUAUGAAUACCAUUUUGGUGUUUCGUUUUUUAUGCAUGCUAUUUUGUAAAAAUUCGGGUUUCAUGUAGCAUAGGUUUACAUCUUUUCAAAUAUUUACCAUUUACUCUCAGAAUUCGAGAAUCAUAUGUUAAAUCUUCGAUCUCAUAAGCAUUAUUCGAAAACACUUGAAUAAUACGAGAUGGGCCUUCCCAAUUAUGGGAUCAUUUUCCCAAAGUCAUAUCUCGUCGAUCCAUAGGCAAAAUGACUUUCCACACACAAUUUCCUGUCAAUUUUUUUUACUUUAACCUUUAUAUUAUAGACCUUAGCUACUCGCUCUUUCUGGCUUAUCAAGACAUCUAAUGCAUGUAACCUCUCCUCAUCCAAAUCGGCCAACUCAUCUAACAUCAUAUUCUAAUAAUGAUCAUAUGGAAAUUUUUUUUUCUCUGAAUUCUGGUCGACUGCAAAUAUACUUCAACAUGUAAGACGACCUCAUGCCCGUAGGUCAGUAGAAAGAGAUAGUAUUCUUUGCCUCUUUAGAAGACGUUUGACAUUCCUAUAAGACUUGGUCCAGGGUUUUAUGCCAAUUCCUUGGCUUCUUCCCCACAUGUUUCUUGAUCAGGCCAAUGAUGAUUUUAUUGGUUGCCUCGACUAGUUCAUUUUCUUGGGCAUAAUAAGGCGUAGACAUUAAUAAAUUAGUCCCCGUCUCAUAGGCUAAUUCUUGCAUCUUUCAACUACUGAACACCGAUCCUUGAUCAGUUGUAAUGGUCUCAAGGAUUCCAAAUCUAUAAAUAAUAUGCCUUUGGAUGAAAUCUACUAUUGCCUCUUGGUUGGCAUUGACUAAAGGAACUGCUUCUAUCCAUUUAGUAAAGUAAUCAAUACUAACUAAGAUGUACUUCUGACUUUUUGAUGAUGUUGGUCGAAUUUCACCAAUCAAAUCCAAAGCCCAACCUCUAAAAGGCUAUGGUUUCACAAUCACAUAUAAUUUGCUUGCAGGAACAUGUUGAAUGACUGCAUGUAUUUGACACUUUUGACAUCCCUUGGCGAGCUCAAUAUAAUUUAUUAACAUCGUAGGGUAAUAGACGCCUUGCCGAUACAAAAACUAUCUCAUUUUAUUUCCAACUUGAUGGGCACCACAUGCUCCACUAUGGAUAUUCGAUACUGCUAAAUAUGCCUCAUUUUCUCCAAGACAUUUAAGCAAAAUACCUUCAGGUAUUUUCUUGAACAAUUCAUUCCCUAUGAUAACAUAUCUUAGAGACCUGUACUUAACCUUUCGAUCACUAAUCCUGUUGGAUUCUCUGAAUACUCGACUAUUGGUCUUCCCCAAUGAGUAUCGAUUAAAUUGUCAAUGGUAAAUAUCUCAAAGUUUUCAAGAUCUGCUGACCCUAACUUCAUCAUCACCAAAUCCAAAAAAGGUAAACUUGUCGAUUUCACUCUUCCUCGAACCUCAAUCAACUCUUAUAACUUUUCGUUUUCCACUUUGUACCCUGGGGAAAUUUGUUCAAGCUCAUUUGCCUCUUGAUUUUCUAUUCGAGGGGCAUGCUGAAUGUCGAAAAAACUGAAACACUUAAUCAGUCGGUUUACUAUAACAAAGUACAUGAUCAAUUUUUCCUUUAUACAUUUGUACUCUUUUUUUUAUUUUCUUAACAACCAAUUUAGAGUCUCCUCUCCCUUCGACUCUUUUUCCCCCAAGUCCAGCAAAAACUCGAGGCCAACUAUCAAAGCUUGUUGUUCGGCCUCAUUUUUUGAGCAAGACCCGUCAAUUUUGUAUUUGACCUUCAUCAAAAUUUUAUUAGGGUAAAUCAUUAAAAUCCCAAUGUCAGUUACAUUUUAUGGUUGGAGCCAUCAAAGUAUAACUUCCAAAGUUCUGGCUCCCAAUAAUUUAGAGGUACCUCGACUAUCGCAUGAUCUACGAUAAAGUCGACGACCACCUUUCCCUUCAUUGCCUUUAAAAGCACAUAUGUUGGGGAAUAUUCAGUCAGGGCAAGAGCCCAUUUUCCAAUUCAACUAUGCGAAAUUGGCUUAGAUAACAUAUGCUUGAUAAUAUCAAAAUGCGAAGAGACGUAAACAUCAAUUGGUUUUUGUUAGAUGCCCAAAAGUGCUUAUUUGAGCUAUCAUAUGUGGGCAUCUUUCACUCUUGUGCCUUGCUAAAAUUGCCAAAACCACAUUCAUUUUACGUGGAAUGCAUUACAUUGAUAAACAGCUUCGGUGGCCUUUGAUGUGUGUUGUUAUUGUGCAGGAAAAGGCAUGAAUUAAUUGAUAAGGAAGACACAACAAAAUUGGCAAAGGAACCAAAGCAAACAAGCAUUCUAUCUGCCAGCUCGCUAGGCGAGAUGUGGCGAAGCAAAAGCCUUCGCUAGGCGAGCUCCUGGCGAAAGGCUCCAGUAAAUGGUUUAAUUAAUUCGCUAGGCGAACUGAAGGCGAAGUGGCAGCGAAUUCAGUCUGUUUUGGUGAAAGCAGAGCCAGCACUAGCUCGCUAGGCGAGGCUCUAGCGAGUCCCCAGCGAGCAUUCCAGUAGCAAAACCUCUCAACCUCGCUGGGGCGAAGGUGAAGCGAGUUCUUCGCUAGGCGAAGGUCUGUUCGCUAGGCGAACAUGACAGUUCCACAGGCCCAGUUUUCUCUGGCGCAGGGGCAUUUUUGUGCCAUUUUGGCCUUCGCUAGGCGAGCCUUUCUGCUCGCCUAGCGAACGUGACAGUUCUGCACUUGUCUAUAAGUAGCAGGUGCCACCUUUUGUGGCCCAUACCAUAGAUACCACUUUUAGACCACUUUUUACCAACUUUUCCAUUUUUUGUACUUUCUCUUAGAUAUUUUUACAGCAUUGCUUUGUGGGAUUUUAUGCCCUAAUUUCAUUUCUCUUCAUCUAGCAACCAUCUUCCACAAAAAGACGGUGGAUUCCCAUCCAAUUUCGAUCAUUCGACUUGGAUGUUGAUCAACCCUCUUUUCUUACUUGCCGGACCAAGCUACCAUGAAAAUGAGUAGCUAAGUCUCCAUUUGUCAAGGUUAGAUGUAGGUGAUUUCCAAGCUUUGUGUGUAAAUGUAAGGAUCCUCAUAUGUAAACUCUUUAACGGUAAAUAUAUGAUGAAAACUUUGUUUCUAUUUAAAAUCUUUUGUGUUGUAUUGAAUCGAGAGAUGGUUUACCGAUUCUUGACCUAGGUUUUCAUCCAAACUUGUUUGUUAGCUAGAGUAGUAACGAAUGAUUUUGUUCACCAUAAGGUUGAACCAAAACGUUGUCUUUUUGAUAGAUUGUGUUCGAGAGAAACAAUGGAUCAAAAUGACAAAAAUCACCAUGGGUGUUCGAGAGAAACGCAUUGAGAGGACUUUGUGAAAUUAUUUCAUCAUCUAAAGGAGUUUAUAAUAUUGUUGACCGUGCACAAAAACAUGCAAAGCAAAUGUUAUCAUUGAAACCUAACUUUGACAAUAUUUCUCAUAUUAAUUCAAAACGUAACUUUUACCGCAAUUAAUUACUUUGUAUGCAAUAUAACUUGAUUAAAACCCAAAACCCUAGUGUUACUUUAAGUUAAGAUUAAUUCAACCAUUGAACGGCAGCGAUAUCUUACAAUCUCUGUGGAUACGAUAACAAAACCCGACACUCAAAAACUGUCUCAUCAACAGUUUUAUAUAUUGUUUUAACUUCAUACAUGAGAAAUAAAAACAAAGGCACAUAUUUUCUAUAACAUUAUACCUAGUUUAUGUGCCAUUCAAGACUCGACUGAGGUAAUAAAUGGCCCUCUCGGUGCCAUUAUCGUCCUCGUGUGCUAACAUGCUUCAUAUUGUCGAGUCUGAAGCAAAAAUAUACAACCUCAUGCACUUAUUCCUAACCGGAGGAGACAAAAUCGGAAGGUUCAUAGUGUACUCCUUUAAUUCAUCAAAGACCUUUUGAUGCUCUUCUUGCCACUUGAACUGUUCCUUUUUUAGGCAAAGUAACGACAAGAGUGCUCGAAUCUUGCCACUAAGGUUUGAAAUAAACCUCCUCAAAAAUUCUACCUUCCCCAAUAAAGUUUGGAGCUAUUUUUUGGUUGAAGGAGGUCAAGCUCCAUGAUGGCUUUGGUCUUAUUCUGGUUUAUCUCGAUGGCCUUCUUGUGGGAAAAAAACAAGGAAAUCUUCGCCUGUACACAGAAAGCACACUUGAGAUGGUUAAUUUUUAUUCCUUACUUCCUCAUUCUUUCGAAUGAGUGUGGAAGAUGGUCAAGGUGAUGAUUUCCCACCGCAGACUUAAUAACUAUAUCAUCAAUAUAUAUUUGAAUAAAAGUUUCAAUAUAAUCAUGGAAAAUCAAAUUCAUCAGCCUCUAGUAUGUCGGCCCAACAUUGUUCAAGCCAAAUGGCAUCACCACCCACUUAUAAGUGCCUAAGGCUCCUAGAGAUAAAAAUGUCGUCUUCGGCAUAUCUUCGUUUGUAAUAAAUAUUUUUUUUAUAACCAUAAUAACCAUCAAGCAUACUAAGAUAAUCAAAACCUGAUGUUGGUUCGACCAACAUUUUGGCGACAUGCAUUGGGUAUUCGUCCUUCAUGGUUGUUGUAUUUAGAUCUCUGAAGUCGAUGCACACCCUCAAUAUUCUGUUUCCUCGAUCACAAGAACAAUUUUUGAAAGUCAUUCGACAUACCUUGAUGUCCUUAUGAACUUACUUUUUAGGAGUCUUUCGACCUCCUCUUUCAUCUUUGACAUCACCUCUGGUGCAAAUCAUCUUGGCGUCUACUUAACUGACUUUUUACCAUGAUUUAUUAGCAGAUUUAGCUCCACCAAUUCUAUGCUUAAACCUAUCAUUUCAAUAUAAUCCCAAGAAAAAGAUCUUUAAAUUCUUGAAGUAAAUUAAUUACAUAUAAUCUCAAACUUUGGUCGAUGUUGGCACUGAUAUACGUCGGCCUUCUAUUGGUUCCAUUACCCAAGUCGACUUCCUCCAAUGGAAUAUGGGGAUGCAUCUUUGUUGUUGAUGCGACAGGAUCCUUUUUGAAGCCCAAAGGCUCAUUAUCAUAUGUGCAGUCAAGCCCUUGGCUUCCUACGAUAUCACUUUUAUGCCUGCUGAUUACGAAUCUUCGAGUGGUUUGGGCUUAAUGUUUAUUCCUUGCCCCCAUGUUGAACAUCUCUAAUUCAUUGGCUUCGACGGCCAUAUGUGAUACCUCGGCCUCUAAGGACUCUUUUAAUCUAUUUUUGGCUACAUAAGUCGAAAUUCUCUUUAAAGCGUUAAACUCAAACAUCAUCGUUGAAUUCGUCACCCCAACCAGUUGGUCGGAUGGUGUCAUAACUUUUCUCACCCAUAAUUUCUCUAUCACGCAUGAAUCCAUGGGUUGGGUGAAGCCUAAAAGAAUAGAAUGUAUCUUUUAAAGGCAUAUAUGCCAACCCUGUUGGGGGACAAGGUGUGAUGUUAGCUAAAUUCUUGUCAAAAUUCCUUUUAUCCUCAUGAUUUACCUCCGCCAUGAAAUACCCCUGAUCUACUUCCACAUUUUCCAUAAUUCCGCCAUUUCUCAACAUUUCUAUCCUCUGGUGGAGCGACGAAGGUACAACUCCUAGCCAUGUACCUUCUAAGAAGUAGAUUAUAGCUCACCUUGUAUGCAAUUACCAUAAAAGUAGUAGGUCUAGUUAUCGAUCCAACUGUCACAUCGACCUGAAUAACUCUCAUCCUAUGUCCCAUUUUUCCUUCAUAGUUAGACAACACCAUGUUGUGUGACCUCAGGUCAGUGUCAUAUUUUCCUAUAUUUCUUACCAAAAACUGGGGCGUAAGUUUAACAGCAUCCCCUCCAUCAACUAGGAUCUUAUUCACUAUAGUGUUGUCGACCUUUGCUCUUAUGAAAAGAGGCUACAAGUGACUCUUAAUUCCUUCAUCCGGUGUUUCAAAGAACACAUUUUUCUCUUCGAUGUAGCCAUUAUUCAUUACAAAGUAGCACAUAGGUUUGUGCUUUUCCAUUUCCUCUUCGUCACAAUCCAUUGGUUCAGACACCUCUGUGACAUAGUCAUACUCCCUUAGAAGCACUAACACCAUAUUGCAUAUCACAUCAAAAUCAUCCUCUGAUCCUAAAUCAAAACUAUCAGUUACCAACUCACCUUCCUUGGGUGGUGCCUCUUUAUUUACCUUCCCCUUCGACUUGACUAGUUCGGGGGAAAACAACUACUGGUUUCUUGACCUGGUCACUCACUUAAUUUUGGUACGGUUUGUUACUACUUGAUUCAACAUCCUCUUUCUCAACUUUCAUUUUCCUUUGAAGUCUCCUCUAGUGGUCCUCGACAUCUGAUUCUUCUCUUUGUAGUUGCUAGGACCAUAUGAGCAUUUCUCCGAUACUUGAAACUUCUCUCGAUACACCAAUGAAGAAACUCUACCCAUCUCGAAACUGCUCAUUUCUGGUGGCCAGAUUCCUCCUUGUCAGCAGGCCUCACCCAUUUCCCUUGGGGAGCAUUGGAUGUCGGCAUAUAGGUGUCAGGCUUACUCCUCUGAUGAGUCUGAACUUGUUGGUUCCUCUGGGUAGCUCCCCUUUUGUCAAAAUGGUACUGAGGUUUACUCUUCUUACAACUCACUUUCCCAUGCGCCUGUCAAGCGUUCUCCAUCUUCCUAGCAGCUUUCUUGUUGAACACUGCACUGCAUCUCGGGCAAAGGAUCACCUCUGAAUCCUAAGCUUUGCAGCGGUGAAGGAAAUCAAGCAAAUCCUCUCUGACUUUUGGGUACACAUGCUCUAUUUGAUUCUCACUGCCUCCGACAACCUCAUCUUCGGCUUCCAUGUCAAAAUCUUCAAUGAUCUCGACCAUGUUGACAUCCAGUGGUUCAACGUAGUUGGCUUCCCCGACCUACAGUGGAUCAGAAUCUAUCUUCAUGGGUGCCUUGCCCUUGGGGAACUUCAGUCUUCCAUCAUUCAAAGCACUCUGCACAAGAUCCCUAAAAAGAAAACAUUAUGAAGUUUUAUUCCCUAAAACAUUAUGGAAUUUACAAAACCCUCUUUUCUUUUUUUGUUCUAAUGAUGGAACUUUCGCGCCCUGAGGUACUAAAAUUUGGCCAUCUGCUACCAACAAAUCAAAGAUCUUGUCACAUUUGGUCACAUCAAAAGUAUAGGUUUUCUUGUGGAACUUAUCACUCUUUUCAGGUUCAGAAGGGUUCUCCCCAUUUGCUGGUGUAAGAAGUUUACACACGUAUGGGGGUCUUGGGUUCAAUUCGGAAAAAUCGACCUCAUUUUCUUUGACAUGGUUAUAUUCUACAUUUGACGCUAGGUAAUUUUCUUCCAUGUCGAUGUAAGCCACCCGUUGUUUCUUACUUUUGUUCAUUCUGGCUUUCUCAGCCUUCAAUCAUUCGACUUGUCAAACUCUAUCCACCAACUGGGCCACAUCUCUUAGAUACUAUGUAUCCAACUUCUUCUAAUAGAAUAAUUUAAUCCCCUGGCGUCCAUUUCGACUAGUUCCUGCUUAGGAACUUGGGUAAAACACAUUGUUUUAAACAGCCAUAACCUAUUAAGGUAGUCUUCUAUUGAUUCAACGAACUUUCAUUUCACAGUCGACAACUCUUUCAAACUGAUCUUAUACUGUCCCAUAUAAAAUUGUUCAUGGAACAACCUUUCUAAACGAGUCCAAUCAUUAAUGGAAUGCGUAUGGAGGGUUGUAAACCAAGUAAAAGUGUUCUUUGUAAGAGAACUAGCAAAAUAUCCCAUCCUUAAGUUCUCAUUAUUCACUAUGUCCCCCCGCUUCAGUCAAAUAUUGAGUGAUAUGUUCGACUGUAGACCCAUCAGUAUCACCAGCAAAUUUGGUGAACUUAGGGACUUUUCAUCCCAUUGGGAGUUCCAUUUGUGGAAUAUACUCCGACAAAUGAGACUUAUAAUUUGGCCUCUGUAGACCCAUGUUCACACUAUUCUGCACCAUUAUUCUUUCGACCAUGGAUGCAAAAUUAUUCUCCCAUACCAGAUUUUCCUGUCAGACUUGAUGGACCACUUGGUCAGCGUCCUUAUUUCGAUUAACCACUAAAACUAGCGGGCGAUCGGCUUCUCUAGGACUCUCUUAUUCGAAUGCGUGGGGCAUAAAUUGUUAUCCCUGUUUUAUUUUAUUUUCUUCAAGAACCAUUCCCUUGUUUCGAAUCGGCCUAGCCACUUGAGGUUGUACAAUUGGUCGAACUUGUGCCUUAGGGGCACCAAAAGAAUCAGCGAAUCGAUUCAUUUGAGUGGCAAAUUGUUGGUAACUCUAUUUCGAAUUCUAAAUCAAUGGGUAAAAUAUAGUACCCAUCUGUUGAGUAAGCGUAUUAAUGAUAUCAUGGUUUUUUUCGUCCAUCGGUUGUCUUAUUGCCAUCACAGAAUUUAUAGUGAAUAUGGGAAUCUCUUGGGAACCAAAUCCCAUCCCCGGUUGGGGUUGUAUCGUCCUACCAAGGUUAUUUAUACCCGAUCCUGAUGCCAAUAGUGGCAAAUAUGCAUUCAUGGUAUUGUAGGCAAAAAAAGGUUAGAAUGUAAGUUUGUUAUCAUUGAUGUUGGCAUACAUUAAGGUUGUUCACGCACAAGCACAAACAUUAUGAAACUUGUGGAAAAAGGCCUAAAGCGAGUUUCCGUAGUUAAUCUAGAAGUCAUUAGGUGACUUUGUGUUAUUAAGGGGGAAGAUACCACCCAUUCUUGUGUAAUUGACGGUAUAGUCCCGGUCGACGACGUGAUCGUUGUUGACGACAUGGUCGUCGUGCUAGCAAUGAAGGCGAUUGUUUCAGUUGAACUUGCAGUGAUUGUGCAUGCCCUCAUGCUAUUGGAUGGUUGUUCUCCAUUGUUGUUGUUUCUAGGAGUAACCAUUCUCCUAACAUAUCUCCCUGUUUGUUUUCUAACUUCUUUCUUUAUUAUCUUACCACUCGUUAAUCUCAUGCACACUCACAAAUUUGCAAAGUUUCUUAAAUGAAUAACUUUUCAAAUAAGUUUUCUUAAAAAUGAAAAAAGUAUAAAUUUUCACACAAAAGAGUUUCGUCGAGUGUGCCAAUUUGUUUAUUGUGAAAAUUGAUAGGCAAAAACAAGUUUUAUUUCACUUAAGGGAUUAAACUCGAAAAGGUCCCAAGACAUAUUGUGUAAAAAUCAAAGGUUUGAAACAUAUUGACAUUGAAGUUGAAAUAUAAAGAAACAAAAUAUAAUUGAAAUAAAAUUCAAUGCAGUAAAUAACUGAAAAUAACGACUUUGAUUUAUAAAAAAUGGAACACAUAUACAUACAUUCUUGAUUCUUUUCUCAUACACAUAUUACAGAAUUUGUGUACAAUUAUGGACCUUUAAAACAUAAGUGAAUGCUUACUUAUAUACUAGUUCUAAGAUAACCGUCUACAAUUGUCGACUAAGCAAAAUAUGCCAUGCCUUCGUCUCCAUGCAGACUUCAACUUUGAUAGCCUUCUACGUGUCUCUAGAUAACUGUUUGGUCUUAUCAACUUACACCUCAUUCAAUUGCGUGGAGAAAACAAAAGUUCGGAAAGUUAUGAAUUUCACUAAGUCUCAAAACCAACCAAACCUUUGGUCUCUGCCUGAUUUAGAAAUUCGACCAAAGUUGGCAUCAUCUUUCGACCAGACGAAUUUGUCGAAAUAUCUAUGGGAUUAUCUGACCAUUUUGAUUUUGGCAAUAAACCUAUCAUCAAACCAAAAAGUUUAUCACAUCUUUAAAAUUAAUGCUUGUGCCGAAUAUCCGAGGUAUCAGGGACUAAGGAGUUUUUUCAUCUAACACAUAGUGUGGGACUUGACUUAAGGAACUUUUUCAAAUUCAUCUAUCUAUAAUGGAAUAUUUAUAUAAUGUUUCAACAAUCUCCCACUUUAAUUUUUUAAAAAUGUUUCAGAAGUAAUGUCAAACGUUUCUAAUACUGUGCAUAAACAAAGGUGUCUACGACUUGAACCUUUGUGUAGCAAGUAGGAUUCUGAUUCAACAAGAGUGACACAAUUGUAUUGAACUCUAUCUCAUACAUAAAAUUAACACACAACCUUUUCUUAAGGUGUAUUCUAAUAUCCCAUUCUUUAAUGGUCCUGCAUGUAUAUCCCAGUUUAGUGAAGGCUCUAGGAAUUCUGCCUCAAAACUCCCUAGAAAUUGGCCUAAGUUCCACAAACACAUAGGUGAGUCUAUGAAGAGUACUUAUGUAUCAUAGAUACUCAAUCAUACAAAGUAUAAAUCUCAUUAAGAGUUUCUAUUAUCUCAUCCUCUUUUUGCUUCAGGAUUCCUGCUUAUCUUAUUUAUACUAGCAUGAUCACCACAUAUUACUCAUAACUUUUUAUUACCCAUUGAACCUAUUUCUUUGGGUCUCCAGUCUAUUAGGUCGGGUUACCUUCAUGUGAAACUCAUUUCUUUACAGGCAUUAGUCCAAUCUUCUUUGAUGUAUUCUAGAUUUUCUCUCUAGCUAAUCCUUUCGUCAAAGGAUCUGCCAAACUUUCAUCAGUGUGUACAUGAUCCAGUCCCCAAACUAUACUGAAUAGCCACUAGUUACUUUGGAACCAUCUGAUAAGGUAUUUCAAUCUACACACUACGCCAAAAAUGACUUUUAACAGCGCAUCUUAGACAACGCUUUUAAAAGAAAGCGGUGUUUAAGGUUAAAUUAAGAUAACGGACAAUGUUCAAAAAUGAAAAGCUGGUUAAGCGGCGGUUAGCGCGCUUUAAUAGCGUGCGCCAUAACCUGUCUAAGACCCCCUUAGACAGCCGCUUUUAGAGCGCUUUUAAUAGGAGACUUAGUCAGCGCCUUUCUAGCGGUCUAAAGUCUUUCAAUAUAAAUAAAAUUAACUCAAAGCCGCUGUUAGGGGGGUUAAAGGCUUUUGGAACGCUCCUGUUAGGAUCUUGGAAAUCGCUUUCCACAAAAGCGGCUGCUGAAGGUAAUUUAAUAAUUUCACUCUUUUCCUUUUCUUGUUCUUGUGAUUUUCCUCUUCUUCAUACCUCACAACUUCGCAUUUCUUUCCACCUCAUCUCCCAUCGCAUAACUUUUUCAAUCACAAAGCAUCACAGACAUCCCAAACACACAUCCCCAAUCACCACUUCUCCUCAAAAUAUCUAAAACAUUCUACUUUCUUUCCUUCACAACUUCCCAUACCUUUUUCGCCUCGAGGUCCCCCGCCGUCACCCAAACACUCGACGCCGCACUGCUCUCACCGGACAUCCGGUUCGCCCAACUCGUCUAGCCCAGCGUUUCUCUCAACAAACAGCUGUUAAACAUGACAAGUUGGAUUCAGUGAUUUCAAUUCGUCAAGAUUCAUGAUUUCAAUUCUUCUCUCCUUUUAUUUUUAAAUUCGUAUAUAAACCUAAUCCUUUUGUGUUUUUGUUUGUACAGUAUGUCCUUUAUAUCGAAACCUAGUCUCGCGAUUCUGUUGAAUAUGGAUCGUGACCCUUCUUGGGCUGCUAUGUGCUGCUAAAAUUGCGGAUGGCCUAAGAGACUUGGACGAAAGUGGAGUCUGCUUUUGCUUUUCCAUUCACUUGAGAUUCUUUGGUUGGCUGCUGUAAACACCAUUGAAAAUUAUCGGAUUUGAAUGUGGGCGAAAAUUAGCAAUCAGUAUAGGGUUCCUCAUCUACAGUUACACAACUGAUGGUCCUUGUGUUUUAUUUUUUAGAUGUAGACUAUAGUUAUAUGAAAAAAAGAUUUACUUACUUGAAUGUACGUAGGAUUGCAAUGUUUUUCUGUCAUAUGUUUGCGUUGAUAUGAUCUUAAUCAUACCACGUUAUCCACUGGGAGGUUCUGAACUUUAAGUUGAUUCUUUUAGCUAGUGUAGUGUUCUGGUUUCUCUUGGAUGAGUCAAACGGGCAAUUCUAGAAGGUAAAUUGAUUUUGACAUGGUGUUUUACUUUGGGCUGAGUUGCGUACUGUGAGGAUUAAGGAAGUGAAUAUAUUCGAGUGCAAAUUAUUUUAUGUGUUCAGUACCCACUGGCGGAGAGAGACAGCGUCAGAACUGGUAAUCCAUGCCCUCCAUAUUAGGAAAAGUUGCAUAUGUGCUACCCAUACUGACAAAUGGACGUAAGUGGAACCCCUCUUUUGUAGCAUUUCUAUGUGGAGCUGUUGACUGUCAUUAGUCUGCGUCUGUCUCUAGAGGACCACUAAGAUAGAAUUAUUCGAUUGAUGAAUUUGAACGCUUUAUGGGUACGCACUAUUUUCCUGUUUAUUGCCUAGAGACCGUCGCUAUUUGUAGACUUACUGUCUUUCAUUUCAAGCAGUAGAAAGAUAGAUUGGUUUUUAUAGUGAAAAUUCAUGAAAUUGUUCAAUCGCAAGUACCAUUUGAAAACCUAAAAUACUGGGAGAGUAUAUACCAAGGCUGGGCAUCAUGAUGUUUUUUUUUUCUUUCUAAUUUGCAUUCCUCGAGAAACUGUUAUUUGAAAGUGACAAAUUUAUUUCCUGACUUAUGAUAUCCCGUGAAUGUCUAUUAGGAUUGCUGAUGCGAGGAAACUUAGGUGAGAGUGAAGUCCGCAGAGGCUACUGGCAAAUCCUUGUUUUUCAUCGGAUUGGGACAAGGUAUGCAUUGCUUUAUAGAUUGAGUCUUCUCCUUUUGCUGUGGAUCAAGUAUCACUCUUCCCAUUUUAGGAGAAGCCUGGAAUCUUCAAGUAAGAAACAAGACUGUUGCUGGGGGGCAGAGUGACUUGGGUUAUACGUGCGCUUGGUCUUUUGCAUGGAUUUUAUCUAUUCCCAAAGUAUUGACAAGCUAAGGGUAUAUUUGAGUUCUCAUUUGUAGUUUAUAUCCUCUGCUAUGUUUUUGAUUUAAGCGCGAGGUUUUAACUGUUUGCAACAUUAUUGCAGUUGUUUGAAGAGGUGGUGACUGGGAAGGAAGAACCGGCUGAAAUGUUGAAGCUCUAUGGCAUGUCCCUAGAAUUUGAGGCAAUGCCACAUUGUUUUUGAUUCUAUCCACGGGGUUUGUGUAUCAAUUAGAGAGGAAGGGAGGCAGUUCCCACUAAGGUUGCGUUUUUUCUUUUUCGGUUUUCUUGGGAUGUGAAUUGGUUUUGUGUAACAUGUUUCUUUAUCAGAUAUGAUUUCUGAACAUUCUGUUUGGAUUUUAUGGGGAUUUUAAGUGAACCAUUUUUUUUGCUUUUGGUGUUUGUUGGAUUUUUUGUGGGGGAUACUUUGCUGUUAUAAGUGCAUUUUAUACAAAGACAGUGGACAAAUCAAGAGGAGUGGUGUCAAUUCAUGAUAGAGCUCAAUGUUUUCUCAAUUUGUUAUUAAUGUGUACAUUUGUAGUAUAUGUAAUGAUUGUAAUGUGUACAUAAAUUUGUAUAUAUUUUGAUACAUUUAGGACAAUGGUUUGAAUUGGUAUAUAUAUAUAUAUUUGUUAGCCAAAAUGUGUAGAAAAAGGCCAAAAUGGCAUAUAUAAAUGAUAAUGUCUGUCAAAAUUGGUUGAAAACAGGUAGAAAUUCUGGUUUAUAAACUGGAAAAAUGUGGUUUUAAACAAAGCUUCAAAAAUUUCUUAUAUAGACAGGCUUUUGUAAAGCGCUUGUUAAGGGGGGGAUUAGAAAGCUUUAGGCAAAGGCUGUUAGCAGGGGGCUUAGACAGCGCGUUUUUGAAAAGCGCUGUCUAAGUAUACCUAAAAAAAUUAAAAUAGGAGGUCUUAGAAAGCGCUUUUGGCAAACGCCUGUUUAAGGUUGGGGCUUAGACACGCUUUUCAAAAGCGCUGUCUAGUACACCUAAAAAAUUUAAAUAAAGAGGGUCUUAUAACGCUUUUGGCCAAAGCGCUGUCUAAGGGGGGGGGGGGCUAAACAUCCUUUUAAGAUUUAAAAAAGCGUUGUCUAAACCUUUAGCAGCGGAGGUUUAGACAGCGCUUUAAAGCGCUGUCUAAGGCUAAAAAAAGCGCUGUCUAAGGUCUUGUUUGUUGUAGUGACAUCACUAUAUGCUUCAAGUACAACAUAAAAUCUCUGAUAAUUCAAACUGAGAUUCACGGUCUUUUUAAUGUAUCCCAUGACUCGCUCAAUAGCUUGUCAAUUCUCAUUACUUAGUCUACUAGUAAACCUCCACGACAAUCCUACGACAUAUGCAAUUCCGGGUCUAGUACAAUUAGUGGCAUACCUAAUACUGUCAAUGAUGUUUGCAUAUUCUAUUUGCCUGACACUUUCACGAGUGUUCUUAAAUAGUUUCACACUUGGAUCAUAUGGUGUGCUCGUAGGUUUACAGUCAAAGUAAUUAUAUUUCUUUAAGAUCUUUUCCUCAUAGUGUGAUUGAUCCAAAGAAAUUCCUUGCUUUGAUAUCAUGAUCUUGAUACAAAGAAUCACGCUCUUUUCUCCGAGUUCUUUCAUAUCAAACUUGUUGCACAACAAUGAUUUCACAUCAUUUACGACUUGAAUGUUUGAUCCAAAUAUGAGUAGAUCGUCUACAUAGAGACGUAUGAUAAUGCAAAUGCGGUUCUCAUAUUUAUCACUUUCAUUCACCUUAUACCCAUUCAAUAUAAUUAAGUUAUCAAACUUUUCAAGCCAUUACUUUGGAGCUUAUUUUAGACGAUAUAAAGACUUAUCUAACUUACAUACCUUAUUUUCUUGUCCAUGAAUCACAAACCCUUCUGGUUGGUCCAUAUAAAUUUCUUCUUCUAAGUAACCACUUAAGAAAGAUGUUUUAACAUCCAUUUGGUGUACCACUAAGUUAUAAAUAGUGUAUAUUGAAAUUAGUAUCCUAAUGGAUGUAAUUCGGGUGACUGGUGAAAAGGUGUUGAAGAAAUCUAUAUUUUCUCUUUACCUAAAACCUUUGGGUACAAGGCAAGCCUUGUACUUAUAAACUGUUCGAUCAUGUUUUAUUUUAUUUUUCAAAAUCUAUUUACAACUGAUUGGUUUGUAACUAGGAGGCAAGUCUAUUAAGUGUCAGGUCCUAUUAGAUUCUAGAGAAUUUAUCUCAUUAUUAAUAGCUUCUUGCCAUAAAUCUACAUCCAGAGAUGACAAAGCUUCUUGAAGAUUUGAUGGAUCUUCCUCUACUGUAUAUGCCGCAUAAUCGGGAUCGUAGUCUUUAGAAACUCUUACUCGUUUACUUCGUCGAAGUUUUAUUUCUACUUCGUCGUUGCUUUUUGUGUUUUUUAUCACAGGAAUGUGAUUCGAUUAAAUGCUCCCAUUAUUUAUCAGUUUGAAAGAAAAUUUGUCUUCAUGGUAUUCAAUAUCAUUUGAUUUUAUGAUCAAUUUAGCAUUUAGUUCAUAACACAUAUUUGCCUUAUUGUUUGCUGCAUACCCAAUGAAUACACAUUCAUAGGCUCUACUAAUGAGUUUAACUCACUUCGGAUCCGAAAUUCCCAUAUACGCCAGACAACCCCAAGUUCGUAAAUAAGAUAAAGUUGGUUGUCUUUUCUUUAAUAUCUCAUAAGGAGAGAUCUUACUUUUUUACUUGAGAACUCUAUUCAGGACAUAGCAAACAAUCAACAAAAUUCUCCCCACCAAUGAGAAGCAACACUAGAAUUCAUCAUAACUGCAACAACAAGUUCAAUAAGAGUUAUAUUCUUUCUUUCUGCUUUACCAUUCAUUUCAGAAGAAUAUGAUGCAGUCAUUUCAUGUACAAUUCAAUGUUGUUUAUAAAAUUUAUUAAGUAAACUGAAAUAAUAUACAGGUCCCUUAUCACUACAAAGUCUCUUAAUCUUGUUACUAAAUUGAAUUUCAAUUUCAUUCACAAAAGUAUUAAACAUAGCAAUUUCACAAAAAUAUCAUUUUUAGUGAUUGUGUACAAAUAUACCCCAAUAGAAUAACUACACCUUGUUUUAUUCAGAAGAAAACCAAAAACAAUAUUCUUUAUAAUCUAAGGAGUAUGCAUGACAUCUUUCAAGAUUAAAGUCUUUUCAGGUGUGUAAUUCAACUACACUUCUCCAAUAUCAACACCAUUAGUGGUGUGGGCAACUUCCAACAACGCUUCCUUAUUCAUGUAUGUUUUGAUCAUUGCACGAUCAUAACAGACAUGACAAGAAGAGGCAAUAUCUAUCCACUAAACAUCACAUACACCAAUCAUGUUAGUUUUAGUGAUCGAAGCAAUAAAUUGCUCAUCAAUCGAGUUAACCUAUGCAUUAGGGGAAACACAAGGUUUAAACUCGAUCUUAUAUUUCUUAAUCAUAUGACCUGGUUUUUCACAAUUGAAGCAAGAGAAAACACCAGUGUCAUUUCUUUGUGGUGAUGGUGGUGGUUGUUGCUUGUAAAUUGGAGUAAUUUGGGCCCUGUAAGGAUUCUCAUUCUUAAUUCGGCUCACAACAUCGUGGUUCUAAUUCUUUAAUUAUUUGCAAAUGACUUCAGAACUAUACCAAAUUUCUUUAUGUUAUAGAAACAACCAAUUCUUUUUUCUUUUUACGCUUAUCUCAAAGAUUCUUCUUUAAUUCAAAGGCGGAUAAUCAGACUCCCAAUUAAAUUUUCUUUUGUUUGUGGCGAAUCAGAAUUUUAAAAAUCUUUUAAACUAGGGGCAUAUUUACCAAUAAAGGAAAUUUGAAAUGGUUCAUCUAAACACAUACCUUUUGAUAUUCUCAUAAGCAAUCUCUUGAAGUUCGUAAUAUUAAGUCUCCACACACCUUUCAUCUUUACCAUUUGAUACUUAAGGUGGCGACUAACAACAUACUUCUUUGUUAUAGCUUAUAUGUCAUACUUGUUUUCCAAAGUCUCUCAAUCCUGUUUUGUAGUAUCGCAUCUACUAUAAUAAUAUACAUAUCAUCUGUGAGUCUUGUCAAAAUAUGAUUUUGUAUAGAUUAGAAUUCUCUUUACAUAUAGGUGAUUUCUUUUCUAAGCUGUAAAACAUUCGAAGCAGAUUCAACAGUUUUAGCAUUUUCAUAUGAAUCCACAAAAUUCUUACCAUUAGUUUGUUCAGAUGAUCCAGAAGGAGCAACGGGAAUGUCCUCAGUCAUAACGUUGGCAACUUCAUUUAAGAUUAGGAAAAAACUCAUUUUAGCCUGCUAACGUUUGAAGUGAAGACCCUCAAACUUGAAUGGUUUGUCAAUUACAGCGGCCGCAGUGUUACCAAUAACUUCUUUGGUAGCCAUGGUAGUUUUGAAAAUGUCUUAACAUUGUUGAUUUUGGAUUUUGAAAAUCAAUCAGAGAAGAAAUUACAAGGUCGGGUUGCGGACCAAGUCGCUCUCUUUAAGAGGUUAUGAUGCAUUGUCCAAAGUUAUGCAAAGCAGACGAAUUACUACCGUGCCGUCUCCAGGAUAAAACAGUUUUGUUCUAUAUUGUAAGAUUACUACUUGCACGGUAGAUAAUCGGUCUAAAAAUACACUCUGCAUAAUGGUCACUCAUAAUAAUUUCUCAAACUAAGAGAAAUUCCAAUAAUUCUCCAAAGAGAAUUCAAUAAUGACCAUUUGAUCAUUCAAAAUGAUUUCUCAAACGAAGAGAAAUUCAAAUAAUUCUCUAAAGAGAAUUCAAAAGUUAUAUUUGAUAAUUUCUCAACUCGAACAAGGAGAAAUUAAUAUAAUUCUCUAAAAAGAAUUCAAAAAUUAUACUUAAUAAUUUCUCAACUCAAACAAGGAGAAAUUAAAAUAAUUCUCUAAGGAUAAUUCAAAAAAGUACCUGAAAAAUUCAAUGAGUAGAAAGAAAGGGGGAGAAAGUUGUCGUUUCGACAAUUCGAAAAACGCAGAGUUAUGAGAAUAAGUAAGGGAAAAAAAACUCAAUAAAAUGAGUUUUUGGUGUGUUUUUGAAUGAAAGAAUGAAUUCUCUUAUAUAAUGAAAUGAGCUAGUUUAGAUAUUUCAUAUAAUCAAUGUGAGACUAAUGAAUUUUUUCAUCUAAUACACAAUGUGAGAUUUGACUUAAAGAACUUUUUCAAAUUCAUCUGUCUAUAUUUAAAUAUUGAUACUCUCUCUGUUCCAAAAUAAUUAUCGCAUCUUAUAAAAUUAUUUGUCCCAAAACAAGUGUCUCAUUUUAGUUUUAAAUGCAAUUUUAAUGUUUAUCUUUCAAUUAUACCCUCUAAUUAAUACCCUCAAUUUAUUAUUCUCACACUCUCCAUUUAUGAUCAUUUGAUAACACCCUCUAAUAAACAAGAAUAUUUUGAUAAAAAUAUUAUUCUCUUUCUUUCAUUUAUUAUAAUAAACUAUAACAAUUAUUUAAUUAUUUACGGACGGAGGGAGUAUAAUAUUCAAGAACUAUAUACAAACAUUUGUGUUUUCAGACUCACAACUAUAUAUAGAUGAAGGAUAUAACACAAAUGAUAUUGCACAUUGAGCUUACAUAUAUAAGAUAUAAAGUUUUAUUGAUCUCUUAAUAUUUAUAAUGGUGGAAACAACAUCAUUUUUAUUGGGAGAUCACCAACAUAAUGAUAACUACCCAGCUUCUGAUGAAGAAAUACCCACAAUUGAUUACUCUAUGUUAUUAUCUGAUGACACUGAUCAAAGAUCUAUUGCUCUUCAACUCCUUGCUCAUGCUUGUGAGGAAUAUGGCUUCUUCUAUGUAAGUUAAAUUCUUGGUCGAGCUCAUCUUUAUGAUACUAUUAUAUAUACUUAAGAAAAAAUGUGGUUAAGUACGUAAUAAAUUUUCUACAACAUUUUAGACCUUAAUAUAUAUUUAUUUCUACUUGAUAUGCGCAGCUGGUAAAUCAUACAAUGCCAGAUGAUGUACUCAAAACUGUUUUGAAAAGAAUUUCUGAUUAUUUUGAUCCAAAAACUGUCGAUGAGAGAAGGAUCUCCUAUAAAAAGCAUCCUUCGGAUAAAUUUCAAUGGCGACAAAAUGCUAAUGACGGAGAAAAUAGAGAAUAUCUUAAAGUCAUUGCACAUCCUAAGGAUCAAGUUCCUUCAAAUCCAAUAAGUCUGAGGUAUACAUAAUAUUUAAUUUAAUGACACAUUAAUAAAAGAAAUUUAAUGAUAAAAUUAUUAUAUUUUGUAAUUUAAAUUCACAAUAAUUUUGAUAAUUUUGUUCAUCAGCAAAGUUACAGAAGAAUAUAACAAUGAAAUGAGAAAGAUUGCACUUGGAUUAGCAAGGGCGAUGUCAAAAAACUUAGGAUUUGAUGAAAACUACAUAGAGAAGGCAUUGGACAUGAAGUUAGGGUUCGAUGUAAUAACCAUGAAUAUUUAUCCACCUAAUUCUGAGGCCAAGAGUGAUAUUGGUCUCACUGACCACACUGAUCCUAGUUUUGUUAUCACCCUAAUGCAAGAUGUAAAUGGGGGUCUUCAAAUUCUAUCACAUCAAGGAAACUGGAUUAAUGUUUAUAUUCCUCAUCAUGCCAUACUCAUACAACUUGGUGAUCAUCUUGAGGUACUUUAUUAUAAUUAAUUUUAUUUUUCAAUUAUUAAUAUUCAAUUAACACACCAGCAUUAAAAAUUAAAAAUUAGAGUUAUGAACAUUACACUGUUUGACAUGAGUUCGAACAAUAAAUAGUUUAAAAUUUUUUUAAUAGAAGAUAUAGAACUAUUCAUUUGAUUUGAUUGUAGAUCUUAACUAAUGGGAAAUAUAAGAGUCAUGUCCAUCGAGUUCUUGUUAACAACAACAAAGUGCAAAGGAUAUCUAUUGUUACUCUUCAUGGACCUUCGUUAGACAAAUUUGUUGUCCCAGAUACAAAGUUUGUUGAUGAUGAAAAUCCACAGACUUACAUUGGAAUGACUUACAGAGAAUCCUUGGAAGCAAAUGGAGACAACCUGAUCGAUUUACAAUCAUCACUUGAGCUCAUUAAGCUAGCGUAAAUGAUGUAAUAUACUUACUACAUUAUCUUUUAUUUGAUUAAAACUCAUGUGAAUCUCAUUGUUUUAAAAGAAACUUAUCUGAUUCGCAUGAAUAUUAAUCUGAGUAAGAGAUUGUAGUAAAUUGUGAGAGCGUAAAAUAAUGUGUUGCUAUUUUUUUUAUAUUAAUACUAUGUGUUUUUCUCCCAUCUCUCUCACACAUCACAUAUUAGUGAAAAUAAAUAAAUAAAUAAAUAAUAAUAAUAUUCAUUUAUACUUCCUUAAUUUUUGAAAAAGUUGUUUGAUGCCAGCCUGGUCCCAAACAAGGGAUGAGUAUUGUGGAGACACAUAACACAUUAUACAUGUGAUGUUUACUGUAUUGUCUUAGUUAAUGGAUCACAUAUGUUAUUUUCUUAAUCAUUGUUGCUCGAGAGUUUGGCUUUUUCUGUAAUAAAUCCUAUGACGUAGGACAUUGUCCCUCCGAGUUAGUUGGAGUUUUUUUAAUGCAUUUUAAUAUAUGGGAAUGUAUCGGCUUGGUAUGAAUAGAAUCCAAGCCUUCUCAAAUAUAAAUGCCAUUUUUUAAAUAUAAGAAAGAGAAAAUACAUUAAUGUAAAUAUAAGAAAGAGAAAAUACAUUAAUAUAAAUAUAAGGGAUAUUCAACUCUAAUACAAAAAGAUAGAAGAGAAUAAUAAAGAAUUCAACUAAAACUAGCGAAUACAAGUUAAAAGAUUUAAAAACCAAUCAUUCUUGCUUGAUUCUAUGGGUUUGGACUUAACCCCAAACCAAUCCUAAAAGGAGAUUUAGAGGAUCUCUUAUUUUUCUUCACAUCUAAAUGGCCUCCAUUAAAGAGGAUAUCAUUUCUAGCUAACCAAACAACUAAGUCAUUGAAAGCGAAAAUAGAUUUCUAGCUAACCAAACAAACUAAGUCAUUGAAAGCCAAAAUAGUAGACAGAGAUUCUUCUCGGUCCUUCCUUUAAGAGAUUUCCAAAAUCCUUCUUAUUAUCUAUCAUUGAAGCAUAAAGAGGCAUCCUAAGAAGCAUGAUCAUGUCCAAGAUGAUUUGCCAAACUCGGGAUACCACAGGACAACAAUGAAAAUGAUAAAAGUGACUUUCUUUGGGACCCAAACAGAGGGCAUAAAAGAUUGUGAAGUCUAUUAAGGAACCCUCGCUUAGUAAGCUCAUCUCUAGUUGGGAGCCUAUUUAGAAGGAGCCUUCAAAAAAAUACCUGAAUGUUGUUGGGCACGCUUGAUUUCCCAAGAACCUUUAGAACACAUAACAAGAGAGGAUCUUAAUGGGAACCUACUAUAGAGAUAAAUCCCAGCCUUGAUUAAGUAGACUUAACCAAAAAUCCAUAAGCAUUACGCCGCCAAACAUUAGCUAAAUCAAGAUUAGGAAAAAAUUGAUAAGGAUAUUUUGGAUUUUCUCCCAAUUGGUCUUUGAGACGCCCGAAAGUUGGGAAAAGUUAAUCCCCACAUUCCAGCGCUAAGAGUCAUUUAUCUAAUGCACGAACCACUAACUUU